rnacentral:lncRNA from 1 species
AGCACGCGAUUACCCUCUCUCUCUCGUCUUUCCGUAUGUUGACCUGGUUUAGCGUUCGUCUGGUCGUAGCUAUGGUUCGUGCAAUCGUUUGAAUCGGCGCUGUUGCGUGUGAAUCUGGUCUAGAUCCGUCGUAACCGCGCGGAACCUGUCACAUGUGUUGCUCCCGAUGUUAAUCUAGUUUUUGUCUGGAUGAUUUGGGAAGACGAAUUCAUGCCCGUAGAUGUUCUCUUGUGGUGAUUCGAAAUAAUAUUUGACUAGUACAAGCCGCGGGUUCAUCCUCUGUUCCUUUCAUUUAAAGAUCUGUUUCUGUAAUGGUGCCAGAAAAAAAAUGCUCUAGGCUUCUUGAAUGUUAGUAAUUCCUCUGCUCUUUCAUGUCUAGUUUGCUAGAGAAUUAAUAUCUGUAUGCUAUUGCUUCUAAGUUAUUCGUAUCACUCAUAACACUGCCCCUGUUGAUACGUUUUUAUGGUCAAUGGUUUCCCGUAAAUCUGAAUUAGUAGUUUGUUCUGUCAGUUAGACCUUACACAAUGUUUUGCAUUCCCUGUUAAAACGUGCUUGGGUCACCAGCUGCUCAUGCUGAAUCAUGGUGGUUAGUUAUCUCUUGUUUGCAUGUCAAUGGUACCUUAUCUUUAGUUGAAACUAUUUGUACAUGUUACUCGUAUGUAGUUUGGAAUUUGUGCAAAUUGGUUUUAUGGUCAAUGGUUUCCUGUAAAUCUGAAUUAGUAGUUUAUUCUGUCUAGUUAGACCUUACACAAUGUUUUGCAUUCCCUGUUAAAACGUGUUUGGGUCGCCAGCUGCUCAUGCUGAAUCAUGGUGGUUAGUUAUCUCUUGUUUGCAUGUCAAUUGUACCUUAUCUUAAGUUGAAACUAUCUGUACAUGUUACUCGUAUGUAGUUUGGUAUGUGUGCAAAUUAAGAUGGUUUGUUCUCAGUAGCUGCAAUGAUGCAGUCUCUUAAUGUGUUGCACUUUCUUUUCAAUGUUCCUUGGAUUGAGUUAUUUUCUUUGUGAUGUUUGCUGCAUUUAGUUAUUUUGUUCUUUUUAUUGACAAAAUUCUCUGUUCAGGACCUGCAAGGUGCUAUCGGCAGAUCAAGAACAAGCCAUACCCCAAGUCAAGGUACUGCCGUGGUGUGCCUGACCCUAAGAUCAGGAUCUAUGAUGUUGGCAUGAAGAAGAAGGGCGUGGAUGAGUUCUCCCACUGUGUUCACCUUGUCUCAUGGGAGAAGGAGAAUGUGUCCAGUGAGGCACUUGAGGCUGCCCGUAUUGCUUGCAACAAGUACAUGACCAAGCAUGCAGGAAAGGAUGCCUUCCACCUCAGGGUCAGGGUUCACCCGUUCCAUGUGCUCCGUAUCAACAAGAUGCUUUCGUGUGCUGGGGCUGAUAGGCUCCAGACUGGUAUGAGGGGUGCUUUCGGGAAGCCGCAGGGAGUCUGUGCCCGUGUUGCCAUUGGCCAGGUCCUCCUUUCUGUGCGGUGCAAGCCCAACAAUGCCAUCCAUGCAACUGAGGCUCUUCGUCGUGCCAAGUUCAAGUUCCCUGGUCGCCAAAAGAUCAUUGAGAGCAGGAAGUGGUAGGCACAGAAGAUGGUUUCUUGUGUUGAGAUGAUAUGCGUGUUGAAAUUUCUGUGUGCCAGAUCUUUAAUUUGCACUUCUUCUUUCAGGGGUUUCACCAAGUUCAACCGCAAUGACUACCUCAAGUUCAAGAGUGAGGGCAGGGUCUUGCCUGAUGGAGUCAAUGCUAAGGUAGAAAUACUUUGUUCAGGGCAAUUGUUUUGUAGAUGAAUUUCUGUUUUAUUCUUCCUUUGGAAACCUUUGUCCCUGCACCAACUAAUUGUUUCUGUCUCUGGCUUUGCAGCUGCUCGGAUGCCAUGGCCGCCUUGCGAACCGUGCCCCUGGACAAGCUUUCCUGUCUGCCGCAUAAUCUAGCAGAAGACUAUCAGUUCUAUCAAUCCUUAUUUUACCGUCUGCAACUUAGAUUCCAAGCGCCUGUGGUGCUAUGUUAUUUUGUCUGAAUGUUGUGUCGAACCUUGUUAUGGAAGAUAUUAUCUAUUUUGGAAUGGUACUGAUAUGAAUGGCCUGUUGAAUCGUUUUGUCAACGUAUUUUGCCGUUGGUGUUCUGCUUAUUAUUAUUUGUGCUGUGGAUGGUUGAUAUUAUGUUUCUGUGUAAAGAAAAUGUUAUUCAUUCUGUGAUGAGUACAAGAAGAUUCUUGCCUUCCCAGCCUUUCAUUCGUUGUUAAUGCUUAGACCUGCCAGUAAUAUAAUUUCCUGACGUCCUAGUCGGGCAGUGUUUCAUCCGCCGGUCAAUGCUGAUGGCGUUUAGUAUACAUUUUCCAGACGCCUUGCAUGUUCAGUUGGUUAGUGUUUCGUCUGCUGGUGUAUUUGAUUCAUCCGAACUGCGUUUUUCAGUUUUUUAGUUAUAAUGAUACUCCAUCGUGAUGAUAUAAAAUAUAAGUUCAUUCAUGGUAGUUUGCCACUCUCUCCCCCUAGCGCCGAUUGUUUGAAAUCCCUAAAUUACCAGUAUUAGCCUAUAAUUACCAGUAUUAGGGUGAUCUGAAUUUGGGAGCACAAUUGACCAAACAUGAAUUCCCCUAGAUAGCUACGUCUUGGUUGGUCGUUUUUUUUUUUUUUUGCUAAGAUGGGGUUGGUCUGUUUGACGCCGACGAAUCCCUCGCCCACAAGCAAAAUACCAAUAGACGACCAUCCAAAGCGACGGGGCGAAGACCCGGCGAGACGAACAAAAUCCAAACACGAGAGCAUCGCCCACACGAUCAAUCGAAUUCUCUCUCAGUUUGUUACCCACAAAAUCCAAAGCAACGAGGGCAUAAACCCCCUUCCUUUCCUUUCCCCCCUCGCCUCGGCUGCGAGCGCGGUCCACGCCUCUUCCCCUCCGCCCCACCGCACCGCACCGCGGCCGGUGACCGGGUCGCGCCAUCGCACGGCGACGCCUGCCCGCCCCGAUGGACCCGCCGCCCCCUCCCCCGCCGCAGCCGGGGCACGGGGGCUACGCCGCGCGCUUCUCUCCCGCCGGCCUCAUCCACGCGCCGCUCUCCGCGCUGCUCGAGUACUCCUCGGGCGUCCUGCGGGCCCAGGCCGCCGCCGGCGGCGGCNGCCCGCGGACGAGGAGGCCCCCGCCGCGCGGGGGGACGAGGCUGGCGCGGGCGGCGGGAGCGGCGGGAGGGGGGACUCGCCGUACCAGGGCUACGACGUGCAGCGCCUGGCCAGGUGGGUGGAGCACGCGCUGCCCUUCUCCCUGCUCCUGCUCGGCGUCUUCAUCCGCCAGCACCUGCAAGGUACGCGAAUCCGCGUGCAACACCUACCUCUUUCUUCUCUACGUAGCGUGAGGGUUUGCCUGCCCCACCAGGCGCUAUAAGCGUGAAUUGUGAUUCGAGUUUGGUUCGAUCCAUUUUGUUGCGCUGUGCCCAAAUACUGCGGAUGGUCGCUGGUGAGAAGAUGAUGGCGGGUUCCUCAUUCCAACUCGGUUUAUGUUGUGUAGGUUUCUUCGUUAUGAUCUGGAUUGCCGCUGUCAUGUUCAAGUCCAAUGAUAUCUUGCGCAAGCAGACCGCCCUCAAGGUUUGUGCUUCUUACCUUGUGUGUCAACGUGAUUGUUCUGCUUCUACAGGUUAAUUAAUUAAUUGUUCUGGCAAGCAGACUGCUCUCAAGGGCUUGUGCUUCUUAUCUGGUGUAUCAACGUUAUUGUUAUUGUUCUAGUAUAUAGAGGUUAAUUGUUCUGCUUCUAGAGGGUAGUUUGGAACUUUGGAUGUCAUAUUGUUGAUCAUGUUAGUGUUGCUCAGCAAUCGCCAGCAGAAAUGUGACGAUAUCUUCUUGCAUAUGUAACAUCAUGAUGCACAGCUGCUCUGUAAAUCCAGCGAACAAAUGCAAACCCUUUAUGUGGACAAAUCCAGUGAACAUAUGCUACAUUGGGUUUGGGUCAGGAUGUAAGUAGACAAAUUGCGAGCUGGCCAGAGCCUUUAUGUGGGCAUAUGCGGCUGCCCAUGUACAUUUGGCAACACGGUGCCCGCCAAAAGUGCACAUCAUUCAUCGUUUGAUUUGAAAAGUAACAUGAAGGAUUUGGUUGUCCUUUCAUGUGUUGGGAAAUGAAUGUGUACAGCUAAGAGUGAUUGAUAACGCCAACGGUUGUCUAAGCCUAUAAGGCGAUUUAUUCCAACUCUGAGAAUAAUCCAUGAUGACCAUACCUCCUUGCGGUUACUUGAGUAGUUAUUAUCAAAAUGGCACACGAAGAACAAAACAUAGAUGUAUAUUUGGCACCUCACUGAACUAUUGAAGCCUCUUAGCUAGACUUGCACGCAUGCUCGGCGCCAGGAAAGGCGACACUCUUAAUUAGCCACACGAGGGUCGGGACUAAGCUGUUGCUCAUGAAACAAAUUGCUGGUGUUUGUAACUGUGCAGUUAGCCUCAUAGCAAUUUUAUGCGUCAUUGAGAAGCAGGCUGUGUGCCAAGAGGUCCUGGGUUCGAUGCAGCCUCUCUGCAUUGCACUGUAAUGCUUGCCUCGUAUAACCCUUGGGAGCUUCUAGCACCGGGUCUGUCUUUUCUAUUGAGGAAGCUUGUUGGUAGACUGGUGCUGCCACUACAUCCCUAACACCAGGGCCCGGGAUAACUCCAUUCGAUUGUCAAAUUGCUUAGAUAAUUCCAUUUGAUUGUCCUCAUAGUGAUCUCACAUGCUUAGAAGAGCUGGAAACACUUUAGAUUGUUUUGGUAUGUAUAUGUGCUCUAGAAUGUAACUAUCAUGUCGUUUCUCCUUCAAGUUAAUGCGGUGAACGUCAAUUAAACAAGAUCUUCAGCUGAUCUAUCACUUGUAUUUGUUUUUCCUAUUUCAGGGGGAGAGGAAAAUGCCAAUGCUUAUCGGGAUUGUAAUAGUAUUCACCAUUCAUGUGUUUGGAGUCUACUGGUGGUACAGGAAUGAUGACCUUGUUAGACCUUUGGUGAUGCUUCCUCCAAAAGAAAUACCACCAUUCUGGCAUGCUAUAUUUUUCAUCGCGGUGAAUGGUAUUCUCUUUUCCCUCACACAGCAUGAUUUCACCAUUUGGGGCCUCUCUGCUUCAAAUUAUUCCAUAUGAUUGUAAUAUGAGAUCUUGAAAAACUCCUAUGGUUUUCUAUGAUGCACUCGAACAUCCUUUCGAUCAUAUUGUAUCAAUAGAAAGCAUGACAUUCCAACCCAAUGGUUUUCCUAUUAGAGUUUUAGGUCCUAUGAACCGAUGAGUGACGUGUGUUCACUGCAUCGUUUCAUGAACUUGGCGAUGUGUGUAUCUGUGUGUUCUGUUUUCUUUUGAAGCGGAUAACAUUGCCCUGCGUUUCACUUGGAAAUAACUUAUGUUUGCUGAAUAAUACUCCGUCCGUCCCACAAUAUAAGACGUUUUUGCAAACUAUGUUAGCUUGCAAAAACAUCUUAUAUUAUGGGAUGGAGGGAGUAGGAAUUUAUGCACCAUUGCUAUCUGAUCAUAACUUUUAAACUAGCACUGCCUUCUUUAAAAUUUCUAAUCAGGCUGACUGCUGUUUUGUGCUCCACAGAUACAAUGGUCCGGCAAGCUGCUAUGGUGGUUAAGUGUGUGCUGCUCAUGUACUACAAGAACAGCAAAGGGCGUCACUAUCGUAGACAGGUAAUCUGCUGUACAUUAUCAUUGUUCAGCUAAUUAUGUACUCCCUCUGUAAACAAAUAUAAGAGUGUUUAGAUCACUACUUUAGUGAUCUAAACGCUCUUAUAUUUCUUUACGGAGGGAGUAACUUUUACUAGUUCUGAUGGAGAAAUGUAUAGCCAAGCUUUUCUUGUUAUAACUCAACUUUCUCUUUAGGGCCAAAUGUUGACAGUUGUGGAAUAUUCCCUACUUCUGUACCGUGCGUUGUUGCCGGCUCCUGUGUGGUAUCGUUUUUUCCUGAACAAGGAAUAUGGAAGUCUUUUUUCAUCUUUAACAACUGGAUUGUACCUUACUUUCAAGGUGGCAUCAAUGGUGGAAAAGGUACUUCUAGUUCCCCAGUUUCAUUUCUUAACCGAUUCCGGGUUUGUAAUUAUAAUAGCUGAAAUUACUGCUGCUUCCUAUCAGGUUCGAUCACUUUUGGCUUCAGUGAAUGCGCUGUCUCAUAAGGACUUGCAUUAUGGUUCACAUGCAACAACUGAGCAGGUAAUGCAGUGUUAGGCUUCGCGCAUGAGUGAAAUGUGGUGGUGGCAUAUGCAUCCUUGGUUUAUAUCUCUGGAGCUUCUAGCUAAGAAAGUCUACAUUCAUUUUACUAUACGGUAUGCAGGUUCUUGCUGCUGGAGAUCUGUGUGCUAUAUGCCAAGAAAAGAUGCAUACUCCCAUCCUCCUACAGUGUAAACAUAUCUUCUGCGAAGACUGUGCCUCCGAAUGGUAUAUCCCAUACACAUUUUGUCAUCUGGUUCUUGAUGCUUUGUUGGUAUCUAACAGCUACCAAAUUGGAACUUCUCAUCGCUCACUGAACGAUGACAGGUUGGAGCGGGAGCGGACAUGCCCGUUAUGCAGGGCGCUGGUGAAGCCAGGGGACAUCCGGUCAUUCAGCGAUGGUUCAACGACCCUCUUCUUUCAGCUCUUCUAACAAGAAACAAGAAGUGCUAACCUUCGGCCUGCAGAUGUUGGAUCGCCCCUUGUUACUCUCCAUCAGCCUGCCGUGUGCUGAGACUUGUUCCAGUCCAGGUCCUUUGCCGUCACUUCGUGACAAGUAGUAGGUGCCGUGGGUGUGCAUAUUACCCUGUAUAGGUCUUCGCGGGAUUCUCCAUCACGCAAAAAAGAGGGGAAUGAUAUGAGGAGAUAACUGAAUCUAUAGAGGUGAAUUUCCAUUAGCAUGUGGCUGGGUGGGUGCUGCCAUAUCUGCAAAAUUCAGAAUUGACCUUAUACGAGAUAACAAAUGUUAACUCUUGACUCCUGAGCCAACGUAGCUUGUUGCUCGUACAAUGAGAUGAACAUAUCCUUCUGUUUCCUGCUGUGUCGCAUGACUCACAUCAUUAUUCUUGCCACCUAAAAUAUGUGUUAGUAAUUUCGGCAAAGGAUUUGGGUCUGAUUUGAUACAGCGCACAGUAUGUUUUGCUUGCUCCAGAUUUAGCCAAUAUUGGCACCGAAAAUGAACCAAAAUGGGCAAGAUGGCAUGAAUCCAGCUGGCAAGUCAAAAGCCUGUUUGUCAUAACCAGAAACAGAAAGUUGGUAGAGUUGAUUCUCGGUAUCAAGCAAAGAUACCCUAGACCCUGACAGCACUAAUGUGUGUAAUGUUAGUUGUGUGCUGUUGAAUUGAUAUUCCGCGUGUGGGUGUUAUUAUAUCGACAUCACAGGAAGGUGCACGCGACUUUGCCUUAACUGAAAGAGUGAAAGAGAUGAGCAUCUCGCGCCUCCGGGAUGCCUCAAGGACAUCUUUUUUAGGUUCGGUGUUAGGCUCGGGGAUACUUUUUGACCGAAAAACGGCCUAGCCACGCCUCCAGCGUUCCUAGAACGUCAAAAUAGCGCCGACAUACCUAGGCGAAACCCGAGGGGCUCUUGGGAGCGCCGACGGAAGUUUGGGCGAUUCACGUCUUAUCACGUGCCCUUUUUGUUGCCCAAUUCAUCAUUUCUUUCACAAAUUUUUGAUUGAGAUGGGGUGUGACUCGGACGAUGCAUCCCUAUUGUCGUCGGCUGAAGCAUUUGGCACCCCAAAACACCAACUUUUUUGGUUCGGUAGUGUUCUUGAAGGUUCCAAAGGUUGGAGAUGCUCUCAGCUCUAUAAUAGAGGUUGAUAUUUUUUAAGCAAAGACAUUCAAAUAACAUCUUAUAUCUGAUACCCAUCGAGGAAAAUAAUAGGCAGUACAAUGGAUAGACAAUAAGACAUAAAACAACCAACAACUAAUAAAACUACAACCAGACCACACUGAUUGUCUUCUUCCUUCGAUUGUAUGCCGCUCGUCAAAACUUAAAAAACCAGAAAUGAUAAACCGCUGGGAUUUCCCAUGGAACCUGUUUUAACGAUCACCCGGGGAGGUGGGGGGGGGGGGGGNNNNNNNNNNNNNNNNNNNNNNNNNNNNNNNNNNNNNNNNNNNNNNNNNNNNNNNNNNNNNNNNNNNNNNNNNNNNNNNNNNNNNNNNNNNNNNNNNNNNNNNNNNNNNNNNNNNNNNNNNNNNNNNNNNNNNNNNNNNNNNNNNNNNNNNNNNNNNNNNNNNNNNNNNNNNNNNNNNNNNNNNNNNNNNNNNNNNNNNNNNNNNNNNNNNNNNNNNNNNNNNNNNNNNNNNNNNNNNNNNNNNNNNNNNNNNNNNNNNNNNNNNNNNGGGGGGGGGGGGGGGGGGUCCCCACCUGAAUAUAUUGUUCAAAAAAGGUGACCAAAGCCAAAAGUAACCCAUUGAGCUUUGGCUGAUCCAGUUUAUAAGGGAAACCGGAUCGAAAACCUAAAUAAGCUGACCCGUUUAUGGUGUAAACCAGGCCAAAAACUGUACAAGUUACAAGUUACAGAAGAUGAGAAAAAAUUACCAUCCAGAAGAAGGCAUGACCUAGCUAGCAGGCAGAAAGACCAACACCACGAGAGCCAUAAGUAGAUGUGGGGUGUUGUUGAAGGAUCACGAUACCAAGACUCCGCAAAUCACCUAACGCACCGCACCCACGUGCGUACCGAGCCCCACGACAGAACAUAGGAUCAACCAUAAUCAACGAGUGCCAAACUAAACACGAACCUUGACUGGAAGAUCCGCCACGGGCGAUCGAACGAUUAGCAGGUUGGGGAGGCAUCAUUGCUUCGCCAUUGAGCAAAGUUGAACCAAGAGAACACCAAGAGCCUGAACCUCGCCGUUGCAUAGUGGCAACCAUGGUGAUGCCUUGAGCAAGUACGGAGGUCACCCAAAGGGCAACCGAAGAGAAAGACAUGAAGGAUAACACAAUCAGCACAACCAACACAAAGGGGCCCUCAACUUCCAUCUUCAUCUGACCAAGCAAGGAGAGCCUUGAACGUUCGUCAUCUGGUCGCCACCCAACAACACCCGCAAGGAGAGAGGUGUCGUACGAGAACUAAGUGGUCUGAAGAGGAGCACACCCUGCUAACCGACUUCGGAAGGAAGAACCGGAACCACACCAAGGGAUGGUCGAGCUGACGAGGGGGAAACAGAUGGCCGUCCUAUGGCGCCAAAGGCACCGUCGUCGAGCCCAGGUGAACACCACUGAACAACCACCGUCGACUCCAAGCUAGUCACACCAUCACCACCACUACCACCGCUGGUCCCUCCGGCUAAUCCAUGCUCCAAAAAAGGAUGCACACAAGAGGGAAACGACACAAUGCGCCGCCAUCAUCCGAUCUGAGAGAGCACAAAUACGAUGUUCCCUUCGAAAUAGGAGAUGAUAAGGGGGAAGAGCACAUCACCACAACAAUGCCUUCAAGAAGGCAACGAUGGCCGCAGACGCCGUCGCUGCCAACUCCGACCAUAGUCAGAGACAGACUUUCGCAUGGCAUCAUCUUCCACACCCCAUACCAAUCCAGCGAGCCCCACCAUCAGUCGCGUGACUGAACCACCGCCACCAGCCGCAUGCCUUCAUCCACACACAACCAUGCCCCUAAGACAAGCUACCACCAUGUCAUCGAGCAUGAGCCACCCUAGCACCGAGAUGCUGGUUGGGAAGGACCAAACCAGCAUGGACGCAAAUCUGGUGACCAUGGGAUGGACGCUCACCACCGCCGGAACCUCGAACGGCGGGCACCAGAGCAACCAACAGACGUGCUACACUCUAGAUCUAAUCCAGCCGCGGGUCAGAGCAGCCACACAGCAGAUGGACCGCAGCUGCGCCACACGAGGAGACAGACUCUGCACACCACCACUAUCCUCCCCCGCCAUCGAGCAACAGCAGCAUGCGCCGUAGGAGCGCCUGUCGCGCCACACCACGCCGGCCGCCAGUCACUGGCCAUACAUCAACAACAGCAGCACCACGUCGCCCACCGGUCCCAGCCGCAUCACACCACAAGCAUCUAUCGGAGAGGAGAGCUCCAACCACACGCGCCCGAGAUCCACCACAAACAGGAUCCUGAGAUCCGCCAUGGCCAGCCACCAUGGACGAGCCGCGGAACCGCAGAUGCAGGGCGCAGAGAGCCCUAGCCGAACCAGGGCGAAUCCCCACCGCCGCUAUCACCAGGACGGGCUUUGUCGGAGGUGAUCAUCGGCGACGAUGAGGGGAAGGGGCUGGGAGGGUGGGAGCUGAGGCCGGGCAGAUCUGGUCGCAGCCCAAGUCGCCUUGUGGGAGAGCGACGGGGGGCGCGAGCGUUUCCUAUUGCACCAACUCUCAAAUAAGGAUGCUAAUGGUCUUUUUUGCGAAUCUUCCCAUGGAACUUAGAGUAAUAGAAAUGUACACCCUCUCAAUACCGUCCUUUGAAGGCCACAAUAGCCAUCCAUCGGGAGAAAUGAAAGGAACAUCUUCCACCACAAGCGAGAAGGGUUGAAGAAACCGAACCAUAUCGUAGUAACAAAUAAAAAGAAGAGGUUAAAAAUCAUCGCAUCAAGAGCCAAGCAACUACUUCCUUUGAUUGAACCAACGCUCUUCGGAUUCUCGUAUGGAUAGAUGCCUAUCUGUGAUGCUUAUCUGAUCGCGACUUUGAUGUCCCAUAUUGAACAUGAAGGCAACCACCAAAUCAGACAACACAUGCCCUUAUAGGCCCUUCAUCGAUGUCAGAUCGGUUACCGUAGAGGUAGGGAGAUCCUGGAGAGACCUUAUUCAAAUGCGCCAUCGCUGCCACCACCUCAUCGGUGCUGGUAGGGAAACAAAACCUAAGGGAAACAAGGACAUACAAAAACUAAGAAAAUUGAAAGGGAUGGCCCCCACUCUUCCAAUUGCCAAUGGGGUCACCAGACGAGAGAUGACAAGGUGGACCGAGACGCUGGCAUGGAGGGAGCGCAUCCAUGGUUAGGAAUGGAAGAACGAGGGUCAUGGAGUCAAAAAUUCUAUGAGAUUUUUGGCGCACUCCAUGUAGAACCUUUGUUUAAACCACAGAAAAGUCACCAAUGCCUUCGCCUAAGGGCAAGUACAUUAGUGUUGAGACAUGUGGUCCAUAAUAACCCUCCACAUCACCUCUAGACAUCACUAAACACACACUCUACAAUAUAAUGUAUUUUUUGCUACCCACAUGGUCCUAAUAUUACAAGAUAUGGACUUGAUGAGUUCAAAACCAAUCCUAGUAUAGGCUCCCAUGUCGCACACCAGGUGCGACUUGUUGGGGAACGUCGCAUNNNNNNNNNNNNNNNNNNNNNNNNNNNNNNNNNNNNNNNNNNNNNNNNNNNNNNNNNNNNNNNNNNNNNNNNNNNNNNNNNNNNNNNNNNNNNNNNNNNNNNNNNNNNNNNNNNNNNNNNNNNNNNNNNNNNNNNNNNNNNNNNNNNNNNNNNNNNNNNNNNNNNNNNNNNNNNNNNNNNNNNNNNNNNNNNNNNNNNNNNNNNNNNNNNNNNNNNNNNNNNNNNNNNNNNNNNNNNNNNNNNNNNNNNNNNNNNNNNNNNNNNNNNNNNNNNNNNNNNNNNNNNNNNNNNNNNNNNNNNNNNNNNNNNNNNNNNNNNNNNNNNNNNNNNNNNNNNNNNNNNNNNNNNNNNNNNNNNNNNNNNNNNNNNNNNNNNNNNNNNNNNNNNNNNNNNNNNNNNNNNNNNNNNNNNNNNNNNNNNNNNNNNNNNNNNNNNNNNNNNNNNNNNNNNNNNNNNNNNNNNNNNNNNNNNNNNNNNNNNNNNNNNNNNNNNNNNNNNNNNNNNNNNNNNNNNNNNNNNNNNNNNNNNNNNNNNNNNNNNNNNNNNNNNNNNNNNNNNNNNNNNNNNNNNNNNNNNNNNNNNNNNNNNNNNNNNNNNNNNNNNNNNNNNNNNNNNNNNNNNNNNNNNNNNNNNNNNNNNNNNNNNNNNNNNNNNNNNNNNNNNNNNNNNNNNNNNNNNNNNNNNNNNNNNNNNNNNNNNNNNNNNNNNNNNNNNNNNNNNNNNNNNNNNNNNNNNNNNNNNNNNNNNNNNNNNNNNNNNNNNNNNNNNNNNNNNNNNNNNNNNNNNNNNNNNNNNNNNNNNNNNNNNNNNNNNNNNNNNNNNNNNNNNNNNNNNNNNNNNNNNNNNNNNNNNNNNNNNNNNNNNNNNNNNNNNNNNNNNNNNNNNNNNNNNNNNNNNNNNNNNNNNNNNNNNNNNNNNNNNNNNNNNNNNNNNNNNNNNNNNNNNNNNNNNNNNNNNNNNNNNNNNNNNNNNNNNNNNNNNNNNNNNNNNNNNNNNNNNNNNNNNNNNNNNNNNNNNNNNNNNNNNNNNNNNNNNNNNNNNNNNNNNNNNNNNNNNNNNNNNNNNNNNNNNNNNNNNNNNNNNNNNNNNNNNNNNNNNNNNNNNNNNNNNNNNNNNNNNNNNNNNNNNNNNNNNNNNNNNNNNNNNNNNNNNNNNNNNNNNNNNNNNNNNNNNNNNNNNNNNNNNNNNNNNNNNNNNNNNNNNNNNNNNNNNNNNNNNNNNNNNNNNNNNNNNNNNNNNNNNNNNNNNNNNNNNNNNNNNNNNNNNNNNNNNNNNUAGGGCAUAAUUCCAACACGACUUGGGCGACGACUUAUACUAGCCGCCACCACUCUCCUCCUCCCCUCUCCUCGCUGUUACUAGAGAGAGCCAACGGGAAAGCAUGCACGACCCCCGAGGAAGGCGGUGGCAAGGAUUGGGGUUCAGCUCAUGAUAUUUUUCCUCUCUCUUUAUAGGAUCCAACUAUGUCUAGAGGGGAGGGGGGUUGAUUAGACUACUUGUACAAAUAAAAACUUAGCCUUUUUCCAAUUUUAGUCGUGGGAAAGUUUUUAGCAAUUGUAGCAAGUCAAGCACACCCUACACAUGCAAGUCUAAGAGUAUUGUAGUGGAAAUUAAAGACAUGCAUAUGUAAAUACAAGGUAGGGAUAGGAAGAUCAAAUGCGAAGAUUGACACAACAAUUUUUGGCGUGGUUUCGAUAGGUGGUGCUAUCUUAUGUCCACUUUGAUGGAGAUUUCAACCAACAGUUUGUAACGAUCGCGCGAGUCCACGGAGGGAUCAACCCAUGAAGGGUACACGGAGAAGCAACCUUGUCUAUUCCAUCACGGCUUACAUCCACGAAGGACUAGCCUCACUCGGGGUAGAUCUUCACGAAGUAGGCGAUCUCCUUGCCCUUACAAAAUUCUUGGUUUAACUCCACAACACGAAAUAGGAGGCCCCGAAGCGACACUUAACCAAUCUUGGACACACCACUCUCCAAAAGGUAAUAGAUGCGGUAGUAUGAUGAACUCCUUGCUCUUGUGCUUCAAAAGAUAGUCUCCUCAACACUCAAUCACUCUCUCAAAGAGUUGGCUUGGGUAGAAGAGGUUGAUUGGGUGGAAAGCACUUCGGGGAGGCUAGAAAUCAAGAUUCAUAUGGUAGGAAUGGAAUAUAUUGAUCUCAACACAUGAGUAGGUGGCUCUCUCUCAGAAAUAUGGAUAUGAAAAGUGUUGGGUCGUUCUGAGUGCUUCCUGUGCGAAUGAGAGGUGGUGGAGGCGUAGAUAUAGGCAUCUCCAAAAGUCCAACCAUUACAACAUUAUUGCCCAACUCGGUGAAACCAAAGUGAAACUUGAUGGCACCGACUAGUUCAAAAUGUGGCAACUUUUGUCUUUUCGGUGAGACCGAUAUAUGAAUCUCGGUGGUAACGAUUUUGGGUGGCCUAGUGAGUUUCCACAACUUAGUGAGACCGAUUCUCAAAACUCGUAAUUUCGAUUUUAAGAAGUUGGUUACCCGAGCUGGGGGGCACCGAUUUCAGUUGCACCGAAAUGGCACUUGGUGGUACCAAGACUCUAGGGUUUGGCAUGGGAUCUGUCUGAUGAAAAACUAGGUAGGGCCGAAUGGGAAAACUUGGUGGCACCGAAUUUUGGACUUGCAGAUUUUGACAGAAUAUUCGUGGGAGAAUUUCAUGAGUUUUUUUGGUGGUAUCUCUAAGCACUUGAGCAACCAGAUCAUCAUAGUCACCUCAUCCCCUUUUAACAGUAUUGGCUUUCCUAUGGACUCAAAUGUGAUUUCUCACAAAAUGCAAAAUAUAGUGUCUUCAAGCUUGUUGCCAAUAGAUGUUCCUUGCAUCUAGAAGUUCUCCUCACAAUCCUUAGCCAAUGCAUCAUUGAACUUUUCCUGAAAUAUACUAGAUAGAAUCAUUAGACAAUGACACAUAUGUUGUUAUUAAUUACCAAAACAACGUUAGGGAGAAGUUGUGCUUCGAUCUCCCCCGUUUUGGGAAUUGAUGACACCAUAUAGAUCAAAGCUUCGACAUAAAAUACAAUCAGUGAGUAGCAUCGUCACUUUGAGAAGUAUGUGAAAAGAAAGAGCUCCCCCUAAGUUUGUGCAUUAUUUUAAAUUUCUGUUUGAAAGCAAAUACACAAUCGAUUAGGAUCAUGGGUCACUCUUCUAUGUUAGAGACAACUUGGUGGUGCACAUAAAUGAUGUAAAUGAAUAGUAAUGCACAUUACACCAAACAAGUGAGUGAAUGAUCAUCAUAUAGAUAGGUCAAAGAUAUGAAAUGGUAGCAUCAAUAAUCAAAGCGUAUGAUCAAACACAAAGUUUAAGAUAUCCAGAAGAACCAAAUGUUUUACAAAAUCAAAGAGAGCAACAAAAACAAUACUCUCUCUAGAAGCCCUAUUGAUCUGUACACUUCUCCCCCUUUGACAACAAGUUACCAAAAAGUUCAAAGUUCUAGAACUAAGCGUCGCUCUAGGCUCGAUCUCCUCCAGUAGCACUUGAUGGAGUCGACAGGAGAGCAUCAACGAAGGCUUCAACAGAUGUCCUUUGAGGUGGUGGUGUAGACACUGGAGGUGCACGAGCCGGUGAAGCUGAUGCUUGGGCUAAUGAAGACGGUCUGGACCGUGGAACUGUCACAAUUGUAGAUCUGGCCUCGGUCCUGAACUGAGUGGUAGCUCGGAUAGACAUAUCAUUGUGGGAUCACUAGAAGGGAUGUUUAGAGGGGUGGGGGGGGGGUGAAUAGACUACUUGACAAAUUAAAACCUAGCCUUUUCCCAAUUUUAAUUGUUGGCAGAUUUUAGCAUUUAGAACAAGUCCAUCACACCCUACACAUGCAAGUCUACGAGUAUAUCAGCGUAAAGUAAAUACACGCACAUGCAAAGUAAGAAGUAGAGUUUAGGAAUAUCAAACACAAAGAUGGACAUUGUGAUUUUUGGCGUGGUUUAGAUAGGUGGUGCUAUCGUACGUCCACGUUGAUGGAGACUUCAACCCAUGGAGGGCAACGAACGCGUGAGUCCACUGAGGGCUCAACCCAUGAAGGGUCCAUAGAGAAGCAACCUUGUCUAUUCCAUGAUGGCUUACAUCCACGAAUGACUAGCCUCACUCGAGGUAGAUCUUCACGAAGUAGGAGAUCUCCUUGCCCGUACAAACUUCUUGGUACAACUCCACAACACGAAGUAGGAGGUUCCCAAGCGACACCUAACCAAUCUAGGAGACACCACUCUCCAAAAGGUAAUAUAUGCGGUAGUACGAUGAAAUCCUUGCUCUUGUUCUUCAAAAUAUAGUCUCCUCAACACUCAAUCACUCUCUCAUAGAUUUGACUUGGGUAGAAUAGAUUGAUUGGGUGUAAAGAAAUUUAAGGAGGCUAGAAAUCAAGAUUCAAAUGCUAGGUUUGGAAUAUCUUGAUCUCAACACAUGAGUAGGUGGCUCUGUCUCAGAAAAAUGGAUAUGACAAGUGUAUGUGUGUUAUGAGUGCUUUUUCUUCAAAUGAGAGGUGGUGGAUGGGUAUAUAUAGGCAUCUCCAAAAAUCCAACCGUUACAACAUUAUUGCCCAACUCAGUGAAACCGAAGUAAAACUCGGUGGCACCGACUAGUGCAAAAUGUGGCAACUUUUCUCUUUUUGCUGAGACCGAUAUAUAAAUAUCGGUGGUACCGAUAUGGGUGUCCUUGGUAGUUUACAAAUCACGGUGAGACCGAUUUCCAAAACUUAGAAAUUCCGAUUCUUGAAAAUGGAUGACCAAAAAGUUGGUCACUGAUUUCGAUUGCACCAAAUGGAAUGUUGGUGGCACCGUGGUGCUAGAGUUUUGCAUGGAAUAUCUGGUGGAAAACUUGGUAGGCAUGAAUGUAAAGUUGGUGGCACCGAAUUUUGGACUUUGUGGAUUUUGAAAGAAUAUUGGCGGGGGAAUUUCAUGAGUAUUUUUGGUGGCUAUCUCUAAGCACUUGAGCAACCAGAUCAUCAUAGUCACCCCAUCCCCUUUUAAUAGUAUUGGCUUUCCUAUGGACACAAAUGUGAUUUCUCACAAAAUAUAAAAUGCAGAGUCUUGAAGCCUGAAGCUUGGCAAUCCUAUUCCUUUACUUCCUUGGGGCUUCUCCACACAAUAUUUAGCUAAUCCUCUUUGUGGACUAUAUCUGAAGUAUACUAGGUAAAAGUAUUAGUCCAAGAGACAAUGUAUGUUGUCAUGAAUUAUGAAAACCACCUAGGGAGCAUAUGUGCUUUCAAUCUCCCCCUUUUUGGUAAUUGAUGACAACAUUCAACCAAAGAUUCAAAUGGAUAUAGGCAUUAGAAUGUGAUAGCUUUGAAAUAUAAAUGACUAAUACAAGCUCCCCCUAAAUGCGUGCAAUCUCAUUUUAAGAGACGUUUGCUUUGGACUACAUGGGCAAUCAUAUAGUAGAAGGGACAAUACAAGUCAUGUGAAUCUUGGCUAUAUGUAUCAAACAUAUGUGAAUGAAAGAUUUCCAUGUUCAGGACUCACUCUUGCAAACAAUAUGUGCAAGAGACAAGAGAUCAUCCUGAACAAGGAUAUGAUGCAUAUACUUAUCUUGAGGUUCUUGAGUAUCUUAGCAGUAGGAGUACACUUGAGAAAACAAUUGUUAGAUAACACAAGAGUAUUAUAUUGUAAAGAUGCAAAGAGCUUCAAGAGUACUAAUACACGGAAGGCAUAUUGAAAAUAUGAUUUGAUGAUAGAUAUGUCUCGAAGAAUAUUUAGAACUUUCUCCCCUAAGUAUGAAUAUGUAGGUUUUCCUCUCCCCCUGAAUCAUAGCAUGUAGAUACUCGGAGUAGGUCGGGUGAGACAAGUUCAAUCCAAAGUAGUUCUUAGAUAACUCUCCUUAGGGUAAGCAUAAGCUUAGAUAACUCUUUGACAUCUCUCCCCCUCAGAGAUUUUCCUUCCUUUGAUAUAUCUCUCCCCCUCAGAGAUUUUCCUUCCUUUGAUAUAUCUCUCCCCCCUUAAGGAUAUUUCUCCCCCUGAAUAUAUAUCCCCCCUGGAAGCUUAGAAACUUUGAUAUAUCUCUCCACCUUUGGAAUUAAUUUCCAAAAAGGUCAAAGGGUAAGGGUUCCUUGAGAGUAAGGGAUCAUGGAUUCUUCUUCCUCAUAAGGGCUCCUUGAAAUUUCUGGCCCUUGAGUAUAGAUAAAGCUUCCUGUAAAUUCUCCCCUUUCUGUUGGUAAGGGUUCCUUGAAAUUUCUCCCCCUUAACGUAUGGAUAAGGGUUCCUUGGAAUUUCUCCCCCUUUCUGUUGGUAAGGGCUUGAAAUUUCUCACCCUUAAUGUGGGAUUACUAGAAGUUUCCCCCCUUCUUAUAAAAUAGAGAUUAUCAUUAAAAUCAUAGGUAGCAUCCUAAUUUUGGAGUCUCCGAGGCAAAGGUAGUUCGUUAUAACCAGUAGAGAAAUCAGUAGGACCAAUUUUCCCAACUCGGAGAGGCCGAGUUGCAGAUAAUUUUUUAUCUAUAUGAAAAUGUGGGAUACCAAUUGUGGGAUGAUUUCAAAACUUAGAUAAAUCCUUCCUGGCCAUUUAAAAAAUAUCUCAAGUAUUUGGCCAAAGCUCCGAGAGAGGGUUGAAAUGAAAAUUUUCACAACUAGAUGAGAAUUGAAUGGUUCCGAGAAAGUUUGUAACCUAAAUAUAAACCAUACAAGAAACUUCAUCUAGAUGUUGGGAGGUGACUAGGACACCUAUAUUAGAGUAUAUUUACUUGAGGAGCCAAGCAAGAAUGCUUGAUCAUAGGUCAUACUCAUUGUUAAGCGCAAAAUGGGGUUUGCAUUUUUCGUUAAUGAUUUUAAUGCCUGCAUAUCUCUUGAGUUGCUUUAUGUCAUGACUUGGUGUAAAGAUUUAUCAAGGGUACGAGUACAUACCUUCGAAUGAUGUUGAUGAUGUGGCAUGCAAGUGAACUUGUUUGUGGAUGCUCAAUGUUGAUGAAGAUCAUCUUGAGUUGGGAGCAAUCCUUGUUGUUUUGGUUCAUUUUUCACCUACAUACGUUAGUCAUGCAAGGAAGAACAUAAUAUAUCCAAAUUACAAGAAUCAAUUUAUUCUUCAAAUAGUUGUCAAGGAUAUGAGUUUGUUAUCUUCUUCCUUCCUCUCCAAAGAAAGGGUUGUUGAUACUUGGCCAUGUCAAGAUUGCUUUUGAUGUGAGUUGCUGACAAUCUUUUGGAGUGUUGUUCUUCCAAGUACCUACAAAAGGUUAGAUGCAGUACAAGGGAGCAAAGUUUUCCAAGAUAUAAGAUAGUGUCAUAUCAAUAGCAUCAUGGAAUAAUCAAGUAAGAUCAUGCCCUUGCAUGCAUCUGAGUCAGUCUAGGUCAAGUUUGAAGAAUCAAUGAUGUUCAACUCACUCCUCAAGUGACAAAACACUUUCUCCUCAAGUGGCUCGGUAAAGAUAUCAACCAAUUGUUUUUCAGUAUGAACAUGCUUGAGAUUAAUAUCUCCUUUACCAACAUGAUCACAAAUGAAAUGAUGUCACACUUGAAUAUGUCUAGUUCAAGAAUGUUGCACGGGAUUAUGGUCAAUUUUAAUAGCACUUUCACUAUCACACAAAAAUGGAACAUGUUUCUCAUGGAUGCCAUAAUCCUUAAGAGUUUGCUUCAUCCAUAGUAAUUGCAUACAACAUGAUCCGACGAAAAUGUAUUCCGCUUCGACAGUAGAUAGAGAUACCGAGUUUUGUUUCUUGGACGACCAAGACACAAGAGAUCUCCCAAGAAAUUGACAUGUACCCGAGGUGGAUUUUCUAUCAACCUUGUGUGUGACAUAGUCCGAGUCGGAAUAGCCAACAAGAUUAAAAGAAGAUCCCUUGGGAUACCAUAUGCCAAAGUUUUAUGUAUGUAUAAAGUAUAUCGCAAUUCUUUUCACAACCUUUGGAUGACAGUCCUUAGGUGUCUCUUGAUAUCAGGCACACAUGCAAACACUCAACAUGAUAUCGGGACAGGAGGCACAUAAAUAUAGCAAUGAACCGAUCAUUGAUCGAUAAACCUUUUAAUCAACCGGUUUGUACUCCUUUGUGAGAUCAACAUGUCCAGUCGUACACAUGUGAGUUUUCAUACCUUUGCACUCUUGCAUGUUGAACUUCUUGAUUAAGUCAUUGGUAUACUUGGUUUGAGAGAUAAACGUACAUUCUCUCAUUUGUUUGAUUUGCAAACCAAGGAAGAAUUUCAGAUCAGACAUCAUGGACAUCUCAUACUUCUCGGACAUCAACCUUCCAAACUUCUCACUAAAAUGUGGGUUAGUAAGUCCAUAGGUAAUAUCAUCCACAUAAAUUUGGAACACAAAUAGUUCGCCAUUAACACUUUUGGUGAAUAAGGUGGCAAUAAUUUUACCAAUAUCAAAACCCUUUUCAGUUAGAAACUUUGUUAGGCCUUUGUACCAAGCUCGAGGGGCUUGUUUAAGACCAUAUAAAGCUUUACGAAGUUUAUAAACAUGAUUAGGUUUCUUAGGGUUCACAAAGCCGGGAAGUUGUUUGACACAAACUUCCUCCUCAAUUUCACCGUUUAGAAAAGCACUUUUAAUAUCCAUUUGGUAAAGAGUAAUAUCAUGGUGAUUGGCAUAAAUGAGAAGAAUACGAAUGGCUUCAAUUCUAGCAACGGGGGCAUAGGUCUCACCGUAGUUCAUACCUUCGAAUUGCAUGUAAACUUGAGCUACGAGACGUGCCUUGUUGCGUAUUACUUGGCCAUCUUCAUCUUGCUUGUUCUGAAACACCCAUUUUGUACCAAUGUGUUGUGCUCGUCCUUGGUUUUCUCCAUGACUGUCCAAACUUCAUUCCUCUCGAAGUUGUGUAUCUCUUCGUGCAUGGCAUUCACCCAAUCUAGGUAUUGAAGUGCUUCUUCUACCUUCAUAGGCUCAAUGCUAGAGAUAAAUGAGUAAUGCUCACAAACGUUAGCUAAACGAGUUUUAGAGUGAGUGAUUCUGCCGGUUUGUAUGUCAUCGAAGAUUUGAUUCAACGAAUGAUUGUUGUCCACGUGUGCUCGAAGUCGUGACAACUUUUUCUUGUUGGAUGGUGGAGCUUCCUCAUCAUCAUCUUCUUCUUUGUUGUCAUUGAAGGUAUCAUCUCCUUGAGGUGGUGGUGAAGAAGGUUGAGGUGGAUCAUCACGAUGUACUUCUUCCUCUUCUUCAUCAUGUCAUGUACCACUUGUGGAUACCUCUUUGUCAUUUUGUGGUUCGCCUUGACGCGAAGUAGGAGCUUCCACUUGUGUUGAUGAAGUACUUUCUUUCACCUCCUUGGGACGAAUCUCGCCGAUGGACAAGUCUUGAAUGACUUCUGAAGGUUCCUUAUGUCCUACAUCACUGGGCAGUUGUUCGACUUGCGAACCAUAAGAUUCAUCAAACUUCACACCUAUCAUCUCUUCAACUUUUAGAGUGAAGUUGCUGUAGACACGGUAAGCAUGAGAGUUUGAUCCGUAACCAAGUAGGAUACCUUUAUGAGACUUAGGAGCAAAUUUAGAACGACGAUCAUUAUCAAGAAUGUAGCACUUUGAGCAGAAUACUCGAAAGUAUUCAACUUGGGGUUUAUUACAAGUGAGUAUCUCGUAUUCCGUUUAAUCGAGUAGCUUGUGUAAGUAGAGUCGGUUUGUGGCAUGACAAGCUGUUUCCAUGGCUUUUUCCCAAAAGUGUCUUGGCGUCUUGUAUUUUUCAAACAUCAUUCUAUCCAUCUCUAUGAGAGUCCGGUUCUUUCUCUCAACAACUCCAUUUUGUUGAGGUGUGUACCUCACCGAGAACUCAUGUAACAUACCCUCGUCAUCAAGAAAAGUAUCCACAUUUGUGUUAUUUAACUCCGAUCCAUUGUCGCUCCAAACUUUCUUGAUCUUCACAAUAAACUGAUUUUGGGCUUUCUGAGCAAAGUUCUUGAAGAUCUUUUAUACAUGUGAAUUGUCAUCAAGAAAGAAUACCCACGUAAAUCUGGAAAAAUCAUCAACAGUAACUAGACCAAAAUAAUUUCCACCGAGGCUCUUGUAAGCGUUGGGAUCAAAGAGAUCCAUGUGAAGCAGCUCGAGUGGCCUUCUAGUAGUCAUGAUGUUCUUGACGGGAUGACUUCCACCGACUUGUUUUCCUGCUUGACAAGCACUACAAAGUCUAUAUUUUCAAAGAUAACAUAUUUAACACCAAGAAUAUGAUCACCUUUGAUGAGACUGUCAAUAUUAUGCGUACCAACAUGUCCUAGCCUUCUAUGCCAUAACAAACCUUUAGAAGAUUUUGCAAUAAGACAUGUAUGCGAUUUGAAUUUUUUAGUGAAAUCGGCAAUGUAUAGAUCACCUCUACAAAAACCAGUAAAGACCAUGUUAUGAAUAUCACGAUGAAACACUUGGCAAUCAACUUCUGUAAAUAGCACAUUGAAACCAAAAUCCACUACUCUAGAUACGGAAAGAACAUUGUAGCCAAGAGAUUCAACAAGCAUGACAUUUUGAAUGGAACUAUCAUGAGAUAUGGCCACCUUACCAAGACCAAGUACCUUACCCUUCGAGUUGUCUCCAAAAGUCACAUACCUUCGUGGUACAUGAUUUGUUGUGAUCUCAUUAAACAUGACUUUAUCUCCGGUCAUGUGAUUGGUCCAUCCACUAUCAAGAAUCUACUCCUUUCCUGUGGCCAUGUAGUCUAUAAGGUUCGCCAUAAGACUUAGGCUCCUCAUGGUAUUAUCAUACUCGAUGUCAAACUUCUCGUAUUCAUCGUACUAGCCAUGCUCUACAUUGUCAUCGUCAAAUGGAGUAUCCUCGUCAUAAGAAUCAAGAGAUCCGUUAGAAUUUUGACCAUAAGAAUGUUCAAGUUUACGAAUGCAAAUAGCUUCAACAAUGAUGUUAUUGAUGGUAAUGACAUAUCCUUUAGCACGCAUGAGGUCACGAAGCUCAAAUAGACAAUUAUCAAAGUUAGGAUCAUUGGGCUUCAUUUUGUGAAAGACAAUAGAUUUUUGGAAAAUGACAUCAAGAUUUUUCAAGGAGUAGUCGGGAUAUCUUUUCUCCAAAUCUUUCUAGAAAGUAUAAGCACAUUCGAAGUUCUUCAUUUGAUUAAGCAUAUUUAUUGGCAGUCCUCUAACGAUCAGAUUAAUAGUUUUAAGAUUUCCAAGCAUAUUAACUUCUUCAUCAUGAGAAGGAUGAAAGGGAUCAAUGCGAGGUAAAUAGGGAUUUUCAACAUAUUUGAUAAAAUGUAGUUCAUCAAAUAUAUCAAGCAUUUCAUCUUCUCGUUGUCUAUAAUACUCCCCAUUGAGAAUAGGCAGUCUAAAACUAAGAUUCCCCAAACUAGACACAUCCAUCUUCCUCCAAUGGUUAUUAAACCAACGCUAUGGAGACUAAUGCUGUGAUACCAACUGUGGGAUCACUAGAAGGGAUGUUUAGAGGGGUGGGGGGGGGNNNNNNNNNNNNNNNNNNNNNNNNNNNNNNNNNNNNNNNNNNNNNNNNNNNNNNNNNNNNNNNNNNNNNNNNNNNNNNNNNNNNNNNNNNNNNNNNNNNNNNNNNNNNNNNNNNNNNNNNNNNNNNNNNNNNNNNNNNNNNNNNNNNNNNNNNNNNNNNNNNNNNNNNNNNNNNNNNNNNNNNNNNNNNNNNNNNNNNNNNNNNNNNNNNNNNNNNNNNNNNNNNNNNNNNNNNNNNNNNNNNNNNNNNNNNNNNNNNNNNNNNNNNNNNNNNNNNNNNNNNGGGGGGGGGUGAAUAGACUACUUGACAAAUUAAAACCUAGCCUUUUCCCAAUUUUAAUUGUUGGCAGAUUUUAGUAUUUAGAACAAGUCAAUCACACCCUACAUAUGCAAGCCUAUGAGUAUAGCAGCGGAAAGUAAAGACAUGCACAUGCAAAGUAAGGAGUAGAGUUUAGGAAGAUCAAACAUAAAGAUGGACACGGUGAUUUUUGGCAUGGUUCCAAUAGGUGGUGCUAUCAUACACCCACGUCGAUGGAGACUUCAACCCACCGAGGGUAACGACUGCUAGAGUCCACGGAGGGCUCAACCCACGAAGGGUCCAUAGAGAAGCAACCUUGUCUAUUCCAUCAUGGAUUACGUUCACGGAGGACUGGCCUCACUCGGGGUAGAUCUUCACGAAGUAGGCGCUCUCCUUGCCCGUACAAACUUCUUGGUUCAACUCCACAACACGAAGUAGGAGGCUCCCAAGCGAUAGCUAACCAAUCUAGGAAACAUCACUCUCCAAAAGGUAAUAGAUGCGGUAGUACGAUGUACUCCUUUAUCUUGUGCUUCAAAAUAUAGUCUCCUCAACAGUGAGUCAGUCUCUCAUAGAUUUGGCUUGGGUAGAAGAGAUUGAUUGGGUUGAAAGCAAUUUGGGGAGGCUAGAAAUCAAGGUUCAAAUGGUAGGAUUGGAAUAUCUUGAUCUUAACACAUGAGUAGGUGGCUCUCUCUCAUAAAAAUGGAUACAACAAAUGUAUGUGUGUUUUGAGUGCUUUUUCUAUGAAUGAGAGGUGGUGGAUGGGUAUAUAUAGGUAUCUCUAAAAAUCACAAACGUUACAAUAUUAUAUCCCAACUCGGUGAAAGCAAAUUAAAACUUGGUGGCACCGACUAGUGCAAAAUGUGGCAACUUUUGUCUUUUUGGUGAGACCGAUAUAUAAUUCUCGGUGGUACCGAUAUGGGUGUCCUUGGUAGUUUCCAAAUCUCAGUGAGACCGAUUUCCAAAACUCAGAAAUUCCUAUUCUUGGAAAUGGCUAACUAGAAAGUUGGUCACUGGUUUCGGUUGCACCAAAUGGAAUGUUGGUGGCACCGAGAUGCUAGGGUUUGGCAUGGAAUCUAUCUCGUGGAAAACUCGGUAGGGCCGAAUGGAAAGUUGGUGGCACCCAAUUUUGGACUUUGUGGAUUUUGACAAAAUAUUUGUGGGGGAAUUUCAUGAGUAUUUUUGGUGGCUAUCUCUACGAACUUGAGCAACCUGAUCAUCAUAGUCACCUCAUCCCCUUUUAAUAGUAUUGGUUUUCCUAUGGACUCAAAUGUGAUUUCUCACAAAAUAUAAAAUCUGGAGCCUUGAGUCUUGAAGCUUGGCCAAUCCUAUUCCUUUCCUUCCUUGGGGCUUCUCCACACAAUCCUUAGCCAAUCCUCUUUGUGGACUAUAUCUGAAAUAUACUAGGUAAAAGUAUUAGUCCAAGAGACAAUGUAUGCUGUGAUGAAUUAUCAAAACCACCAAGGGAUCAUAUGUGCUGUCAAUCAUCAUCAUCAUCACCACUGGUGGAGCUGGGAGUGUGCAUUGCAUCAAUUUCAUGCGUCAACUCAUUGAUAGUGGUUGUCAGCUAUGUCACUUUGUUAUCGAGGUCAUGGAAUUUGGUUUCCAUGAUCCUCUCGAGACUGUUGUGAUUCAGCAAGAUGUCGGUAAUGUUCUUCUCCAUCCCUUGGAUGGUGUUGAUAAGAAACACCAUUUGGUCCUCUUUGGAUGUCAACUGUGGAGCUCUAGCUUCUCUGGCUGCCUCUACCUCAGCACAUAUAUCUGCGUGUGCUGUAGCUGAAGUAGGGUGGCUGGGGUCCAUCACCACUUUAUUAUCUUCAAAGUUUGUCUAGAGUGGUAGGUGUUGAUGAUCAAGUAGAUGCACAUUUUUCACUAUCUUGAAAUUUAUCACCAUCUAGAUUUAUGGUGCGUAUCCACAAGAUAUCUUCUUAUGAGCAAUAGUCCUUCUGAUUGUCUCCACAAUCAGGUCCAUCACCAUCCUAGUAUGGGUGUCUACAUGGUGCAACAUGUUUACGAUAUACACCCUGAUCAUCUUAUCAUCACCUGAUUUAGGCAUGAAGGUGUACCUCAUUAUGGUGUUGGUGGUGGGUAGUCCUGCUUGCAGGAAGUAGACAAAGCCAAGCUUGUGAGUCUUCAGGAAUUUCAUGGGCACUGGGGUAUACAUAUUUUCCAUAGAAUUUUGGUUCAUCUUAGCCUCAGUAUAAACAUCCAAGUCACUCUCUUAUACCUUUGGGGAUCCUAAGAUGCUAUCCCACUCUUCCAUUGUGAAUUGGUACCUGUUGCCUUCUUUCAUCCAUACAAUUCUACUAUCGGGAUAAAAGUGAUCUCUGGAAUAGAAUUGCAUGAUCAUUUUGUCGUUCCAGGAUGUCAUCUUUCUGCCGACAAAAUCUUCAACGUCGAUGGCUUUCAAGUUAUCUUGCACACGAGGGAAGUAAUCCUCAUUUUCCUUGAUGUAGUCCCAGUCUACUUAUCUCAUAUCGUUGACAACUGUACUCUUGUCCAAAAGCAGCGACUCAGAGAAAUCCUGCCGCUCCUUUGUAUGGAAGUGAGCGUCGAUGAUAUUCCUCCUCCUGACAACAUGCGGAUUGGCAGGUCUCCACUUUCUUAGCCCUCAAUCCUUUAUCUCCUUCAUAUUAUCUGCAACGGGGUGUUCAUCGUUGUGUUCAGGCAGGUGAGGUCUCAACUUCCUCAAAAUAGCAAGAUCUUCUUCCUGUGAAGCAACAUUUCUUGAUGCAGAACCCUUGUUCUUCUCUGCUGCAGGUAUGCCUCUUGUAGUCCUCUUGGGUUUAGGAGCUACAUGCUUCUUAGCCUUCGGAGUAGUAGUCUUGGCCUUAGUUGCACGCUUGCUGGGCAUAGCCUCUCCCGAUACCUUCUUCUUCUUGGAAGGAGGUGGAUUAACAGGUACCUCUUCCUCUUCUUCCUCAGUUUCUGCUGGAUCUUCAUACAUGGAAGUUGGCCUUCCAACAACAUGUAUAAUCCUCUUCGUGGCUCUCUUCUGUCCUGGUUUCUUGGCUAGCUUAGAGAUUUUAGAAACCACUAGAGUUUUAGCUCCUCUAGCUGUCUCAGAAUCUCUCACUGCAUCAGGAUUGGCACACUCCUUUCUCAUAGUCUUCUUGACAAUGACCUUCUCCUUCUGCUUGUGAGAAGUUCCUUCCUCAAGAAUGAAAUCAGCAUCUUGUUCAUCUGAGUUAAGCCUCUUCCUUGUGCUGGUAGCUGCCUUGGGCAGAUCAUGAGAGCAAGGAGUUCCUGUAUCAGAAUCAUUCCUCUCAGGACUAGUGCUCGAGUCCACUUCCAUGCUGUGCUCUCUGUAAGCAUUCUCGCUGUCCUCACACCCUGACAUUCUGACAAGUUGGCAAGCUAACCCAUUGAAUAGAUAUAGAAGAGUAGGAAUGGAUGAGAACCACAAACACAGACGUUUUCAAAAACUGAACUCAAAAGCUUUGUCUUAAGUUUCAUCUAUGUGUGUUUCGGUUCCACCGAGUUGGGAAAAUCGAAGCCUCUGAGACUGUCCAUCUCAUUUAUAGAAACCUGGCCACUCUUUUUGGUUUCACCAAAAAGAGAGACUCGGUCUCACCGAGACGGUUCUCAGAAGCCAUAAUGAAAGAAUCGGUGACACUUAUGCAAUUCCACUCGGUGACUCCAAGACACACAAAGCGGAGACGUAACCCUAUUUUUUCCCUCUAAUAUGGGGGAUUUGUUUUGUGGUUGGAUCCAUCUCAAACUAUGGCAUUAUGAUGGGAGUUCCUAAUGUGCAAGAUUUGAUAAGGAGGAGUGCAAUAGGGGUGAGAUAUUUACCCUAACUCGAUGAAGAUCCCAUACGACAGCGAUGGUAGGGUUGAUUGUGGUCUACGACGAGGACUCCGGUGACGAGGGCACACGAAGAUGAGUCGAAGACGUCUGUAGACAUGAGUGCGGUAGCAGGGGUUUGCAGGAGGACAACAAUUGAAGAGUAAUUUGAAAAGUAGGGUCCGCUAGAUAUAUAUAUCCCGAUGCUGUCAGUGACACCGAUUUUGAAAUUUCGGUGCCACCGAGUUUCUUAACUUUCUAGGGCAAAGAAACUCGGUGAGGCCAAGAUUGCAAAAUCAGUUGUACCGAGGUUCAAAAACCUGAUCAAUCCUAGUGCUUUGGUGGGACCGAGUUUGUGAAGUUGGUCACACCGAGUGGCACAUGGUAGGUUUUGGAAGUUAGCUCCUUGUCGAGACGGAACUCUGAGUGCACCUCAGAGAGAGUGCCUGAAAAGGGCUUGCUCAAAUUUUGUGAUGAAGCAUUAAUAGAAUUUGAGACGGGAGAGCAUAGAUAUCUAGAGAGGGGUACUUAGGCAUUCUUGUAUAUCCUAUUGGCCAAUGAAAAUGAAAAGCCAAAUAACAACAAUUGGAUAUCCUCGCAUUAGCAAAAAUAUGCAUACCAACAUGCUCACACAAUAAGAUGUCAAAUUAAACAAGGCAAACAUGUACAACCACUCUAGUAUCUACUAAGCACUUUGGUGAUGACGAAGUCAUCUAUAUAUGAAUAUAUCGAGUUAGGAGCCAAGCAAGAAUACUCGAUCAUAGGUCAUACUCGUCGUUUAAGCACAAGUGGGGUUGCCACUUUUACAUAAGACUUUCAUUGUGUUCACAUCUUAAGAGAUGCUUUAACUCAAGUCUUAGAGUAAAGCCCCCCUUGAUGUGACAUCCCCCCUAAGAGGGACAAAAUAACCUUGGGUUUUGUCAUAGAAGACUUCAUGUAUGUGUAGUAGUGGUGGAUCCUCAUUGUUGAUGAAGAUCAUCUUGAGUUGGGAUAAAUCCUUGUUGUUUCUUACUCUUCUCACUUACAUGGGUUAGUCCCACACAAGGAACAAAUACAGGGAUAUCUAUGGACAUGGAGUGAAGUACAUAUGAGAUGAUGUCCAUUUUCUUGCUCAAGUGUAACUUGGCUAAGAGAAUCAUUAGUGGAAUCAAGAGAGCUACUAGCAACAAUAUCAUUAGAUUUAGCAUUAGUGUUGUUGUUACUAGAUGAAGAAACUUCCUUGGCUUUGUUACUACUUUUCUUAGAUUUAACUUGUGGAAAAAAGUACAAAUCGUUUGGCUAGAUAAGAAGAACUCUUCUUUCGAAGAUCAUGAUUGAUUGCUUUUAGAAACUCAUGCUCUUGCUCUAAAUUUAGCUUCUCGAAGAAUAGCUUCUCAUGAGUUCUUGCAAGAUCUCUAUGAUCUUUUAGAGUAGAUUCAUGGGCUAACUUAGGAGUGUUUAAUUCUUAUGUUAGAUGCUCCAUCUCAUGCUUAUCAUCAUCAUACAAUUUAUCUAGACUAGUAUGAUUAUCAUCAAGUUCAUUUUCAUUGUUAUCACUAGUUUUAUCAAAGAACAAGUCAUCAUCUCCAAGUAAGUCAUCCUCAUCACUAUUAAAGUCAAAGUACCCGGGGUGUGAUACCUUGGGGCCUUUAGUCUUGAAGCAAUCUCCAAUCCCUUCAUUUGGUGAAUCAAAUAUGUCAUAGGAGUUGGAGGAUACGAGUGCAAGACCGCCAACACCUUCAUCUUGACUAUAGUCGGAGUUGGAGUGGUAGCUUCUCUCGGAUUGGUUGUCGGAUUCGGAGCCGAAUACCCAUUCACCAACAUGAGCUUGAUAUCUUCUUCUUGAGUGGCUCUUGGUGUACCUGUCCUUCUUCUCCGAUUCCUUGCUUCUCCGGGAGGGUCUUCGUUCAUAAUGAUCAUCUCCACUCCUUCUCUCUCUUCGAGGUGACUCAUUGUAGGAUCGAAAGUAUGUCUAGAGGAGGGGGGGGGGNNNNNNNNNNNNNNNNNNNNNNNNNNNNNNNNNNNNNNNNNNNNNNNNNNNNNNNNNNNNNNNNNNNNNNNNNNNNNNNNNNNNNNNNNNNNNNNNNNNNNNNNNNNNNNNNNNNNNNNNNNNNNNNNNNNNNNNNNNNNNNNNNNNNNNNNNNNNNNNNNNNNNNNNNNNNNNNNNNNNNNNNNNNNNNNNNNNNNNNNNNNNNNNNNNNNNNNNNNNNNNNNNNNNNNNNNNNNNNNNNNNNNNNNNNNNNNNNNNNNNNNNNNNNNNNNNNNNNNNNNNNNNNNNNNNNNNGGGGGGGGGUGAUUAGACUACUAGACAAGAUAAAAACUUAGCGUUUUGCCAACUUUAGUUGUGGACCAGUUUUAGAAAUUAUGACUACUCAAGUACACCCUACACAUGCACAUCUAAGCGUAUAGCAGCGAAAAGCAAGACAUGCAAAUGUAAAGUAGAGGGUAAGGUAGGGAGAUCAAAUGCAAAGGUUGACAUGACGAUUUUUGGCAUGGUUUUGAUAGGUGGCGCUAUUGUACGUCCAUGUUAGUGGAGACUUCAACCCACAUAGGGUAACGGUUGCGAGAGUGAGAGAGGGCUCCACCCACAAGGGGCCCAUGAAGAAGCGGCCCUGUCUAUUCCACCACGGCUUCCGUACACACAGGACUAGCCUCACUCACGGUAUAUCUUCACGAAGUAGGCGAUCUCCUUGCCCUUACAAACAUCUUGGUUCAACUACACAACACUAAGUAGGAGGCUCCCAAGCGACACCUAACUAAUCUAGGAGGCACCACCCUCCAAAAGGUAAUAGAUGUGGUAGAACGAUGAACUCCAUGCUCUUGUUCUUCUAAAGAUAGUCACCUCAACACUCAGUCACUCUCUCUAAGAUUUGGGAGGGAUAGGAGAGAUUGUUCUUGUGGAAAGCAACUUGGGGAGGCUAUAAAUCAAGGUUCAAAUGGUUGGAAUGGAAUCUUUUGAUCUCAACACAUGAGUAGGUGGCUCUCUCUUAGAAAAAUGUAUCUACCAAGUGUAAGUGUGCUGUGAGUGCUUCCUCUAUGAAUGAGACGUAGGUGGAGGGGUAUAUAUAGACAUCCCCCAAAAUCCAACGGUUACAACAUUAUUGCCCAACUCGGUGACACCGAAAAGAAUCUCGGUGGUACCGAGUUGCACUAAAUGUGGCAACUUUUGAAUUCUCGGUGAGACCGAUAUAGGAAUCUUGGUGGUACCGAUGCUAUGACCUAGAUGAGUUUCCAAAUCUCGGUGAGACCAAUUUCAAACUGGGAAAUUCCGGUUCUUGAAAUCUUCUCAACAGAAAGUUGGUCACUGAAUCUCCGUGGCACCAAUGGGAAAGUUGGUGGUACCGAGAUGGUAGGAUUUGGCAUAGGAUGUGUCAAGUGUAAAAUCUGUAGGGCCGAGUGGAAAUUGUUGGUGUCACCGAUUUUGCUGGUUUGGCUUUGGACACAGAUAUUUUGUGGGAGAAUGGUUGAGUAUUUUUGGUGGAUACCUCUAAGCACUUAAGCAACCAAUUCAUCAUAAUACCUCAUCCCCUUUUAAUAGUAUUGGCUUUCCUAUGGAGUCAAAGUGAUUUCUCAUAAAUGUAAAAUGUAGAGUCUUCUUGCUUGAAGCUUGAGCCAAUCCUAUACCUUCCUUGCAUCAUGGGCAUCUCGGCACAAUCCUAGAGCCAAGGCAUUUUUGAACUUUUUUGGAAUAUACUUGAAUAAACUCAUUAGUCCAAUGAUGCAUAUGUUGUGAUUAAUUACCAAAACCACCUUAGGGAGCAAUUGUGCUUUCAAUCUCCCCAUUUUUGGUAAUUGAUGACAACAUAUAGAUCAAAGCUUCGACAAAAGGUAUAAUCAAUGAUUAGCAUCGAUGCUUUAAGAAGUAUGUGAAAAGCAAGAGCUCCCCCUAAAUUUGUGCAUUAUUUAUGAUUUGCGUUUGAAUGCAAAUGCACAAUCGAUUAGGAUAAUGGGUUACUCUUCCAUGUCACAUACAACUUUGUGGUGCACAUAAAUGUUAUGAAUGAAUAGUAAUUCACAUAACACCAAACAAGACGUGAAUGAUCAACAUGUAGAUAGCUCAAAGGUAAUACUGUGGUAGCAUCAAACAAGCACAACGUAUGAUCGACACACCUCUAAACGGAUAAAGUCAUCCAAAAGAACAAUUUUUUUGAAAAACCAAAUGAGAGCAAAUAAAAUGCAAAGCUCUCCCUCUCUAAGCCCUAUUUGAUCUAGACACUCCCCCCCUUUGGCAAUAAGUUACCAAAAAGUUCAAAGGUCUAGAACUAAGCAUGUCUCUGGGCACGAUCUCCUCCGGUAGCUGAAGAUGGAGUGGACAAGAGAGCGUCAAUGAAGGCUUCUGCAGAAGUCCCUGGAGCUGGAGGUUUAGAGACUGGAGGUGCAGGAGCAGGAGUUGAAGUUUGAGCUGAUGAAGAUGGUGUUUCUUAUGGAACUGGCACAAAUGCUGACCUAGUCUAGGUCCUGAAUUAAGUGGUUGUAGGAAGGGGCGACUCUUCAUCAUCAAUGUUGGAGCGUGGAAUCUUCACUGAAUCAACUUCAUGUUGAAGUUGCUGAACAAUGGUAGUCAACUUCGUCACCUUAGCAUCCAGGUCAUGGAUUUUGUCGCCACGAUCCUCUUGAGGCUCUUUUGGUUCAGCAAGAUCUCAGAAACUUUAUUCUCCAUCCCUCAGAUGGUGCUGACCAAGAAGGAUAUUUGCUCAUCUCUGGUUUUGAGCUGUGGGGUUGGACCUGGAGCAUUCCUAGCAGCCUCUGCAGUUGCUGCCUGUGCUGCCUCUCGAGCAGUAGCUGAGCUGGGAUGGCUAUCGUCCAUCACAACUUUAUUGUCUUCAAAAUCAGGCUGAAGUGGCAGGUGGGGAUGAUCAAUUUGAUAUGCAUGCUUGCCAAUCUUGGCAUUGAUGAGCAUGUGAAUGCAUGGAGCAUAUCCACAAGAUCUCUUUUGAUCUGCAACAAUCAUCUUGACAGUCUCAACUAUCAAGUCCAUCACUUGGAACCGGAUGUGGGUGUCUAGAUGAUGCAACAUGUUGAUGGAAUAACCUCUAAUCAUCUUGUCAUCACCUAAUUUGGGCAUCAGGGUGUCUCUCAUGAUAGUGUUCGUAGUGGUUAUUCCUGCUUGCAAAAAGUAGACAGAGCCAAAUUUGUGAGACGACAGAAACUCAUGGGGCGCUGUCUUGUACAUGUUGGACAUGGAGUUGUGAUUCAUCUUGCGUUAUGAAUACACAUCCAAGUCUCCUUCUUGUGCUUUCAAAGCACCAAUGAUAGUGGCUCAUUCGUCAACAGUGGCUUCAUACAGGUGACGCUCAGUCAUCCAAACAACUUUUCCAUCAAAAUAGAAGUGAGCGGUGGAAUAGAAUUGCACGUUCAUCUCAUCAUUCUAGGCAGUCAUCUCUUUGCCAACAAAAUCUUCAAUAUCAACCAUCCUUAAAUUUUCUCUCACAUAAGGAAAAUAAUAUUUAUUAGCUUUGAUGUAUUCCCAAUCGACAUAUCUCAUGUCGCUGACUGCAGGACUCUUGUCAAGCAAACUUGUCUCAUAGAAAUCUUGUUGUUCCCUUGUCUGAAAGCGGGGAUCAAGAGGAGUCCUCCUUCUCACAACAUAUAGAUCAAUAGGUCUCCACUUCCUCAAACAUGCAUCCCUUCUCUUCUUCAUGUCUUUAGCACUAGGGUGACAAGCAUCAUGGGUUGGCAGAUGAGCUCUCAGCUUCAUGAGCACAGGUGCAUCCUCAUCGUCCUCUGCAGCAAAAUCUCUGGACGCAGAGCCUUUGUUUUUCUUUGUUUUAGGAAUAUCCUUUGUAGUCCUCUUGGGAGCUACAGACUUCUUAGUCUUAGGUGUUGAAGGCUUUGGGGCAGACUUCUUAGGCAUAACAUCAACCAUAAUAUUUUUCUUCUUAGGAGGAGGAACCUUAGCUGGAAUUUCUUCCUCCUCAUCAUCAGAAGCUUCUGUUGGAUCUUCAUACAUUGAGGUUGGUCUUCCCACAACAUGGAUAGUUCUCUUCCUGGCUCUCUUCUGACCUAGCUUAUUUGCAAGCCUAGCUUCUGGAGCUCUAGUGUCAAAAGGUCUGGCAUACUCCUUCCUCACAGUCUUCCUGACUCUGGUCUUCUCCUUCUGCUUCUGGGGACUAGAUUCUUCACGGAUGAAGUCAAUAUCUUCUUCACCAGAAUUAAUCUUCCUCUUGUACUUGGUAAUUGCCUUGGGCAUGCCAUGGGAGCUAGGAGUACCUGGGCUAGAAGGGGUCCUCUCAGGACUAGUGCCUAAGUCCAUGUCAGAAUUGGGCUCACUGAAGUUGUUCUGACUAUCCUCUGAACCUGACAUCUUGCAAGACCAAGCAGACAAGCAGACUAGAAGACAAGCACACAAGCACACCAUGUGAAAAUGUAUAGAAUAUAUAGAAAGGAUAAGCAUCACAAAAUUACAAUUUUUUUGUCAAAUUUGAAAUCUGAAAACUUUAGUUUUAACAUGCAGCAAAACAGGAUUCCGGUUUCACUGAGUCAGAAAUUUCGGAGCCACCGAGGCAGCUCCUCUCACAAACAGAAACUUGGCACCCUUUCUGGUUUCACCAAAAAGGAGAACUCAGUUCCACCGAGAACAUUCUCAAUAACCCUAAAACCAAAAUUGUUGAGACCGAAUUUUGCAACUCGGUGACACCGAGAUUCAACUUUGCGUACUGUUAACCCUUAAACUUUCUUUGCUCGCUAAUUUAAGGGAGUUUUCUACUGAGUGGAAUUAGUGCAAUAGUGGAUAGAUAAUGGCUGGACCUAUUUGUACAAGAAUCAGAUGUGGAGCACAAAAGGAAACAAUCCAUACCCUAACUCGCCAUGGAUUUUCUAAUGCGGCGACGGUGGUGAAGAUCCCGUCGGCGGCGAGGACUCCGGUGGCGAGGGCACAUGGGAUGAUCAAGUAGUCGUCCAGGGGACUAGGGCGCGAUAGCAAGGAGGUGUGGCUCUUCGACGUUUGAAGUAAUUUUUCAACCAUCGAGUUCCACGGAUAUGUAUGUCCCCUUGCUGUCGGUGAGACCGAGAUGAGAUUUUCGGUGCCACCGAGUUCCAAAACUGUCAGAUGAUAGUGAAACUCGGUGAGGCCAAAAAUUAAAACUUGGUUGCACCGAGACGAUCCAACCUCAUCAACCCUAGGCUUCGGUGGGACCGAGAUUUUGAGGUUGGUCACACCGAGAUGCAUUUUGGGAGGUUUUGGAAUUCAGCCCUUGUUGAGAUGGAUCUCCUAGUGCUCUUCACACAGAGUGUCCCUAAAGUGCUUGCUCAAAUUUUGUGAUGUAGCAUGAAUAGAAUUUGAUAUGAGAAAUCAUAGAUAGCUAGAGGGAGGUACUUAGGCAUUCUUGUAUAUUCAAUUGGCCAAAGAAAGCCAUAUAACAACAAUCGGAUAUCCUCGAAUGAGCAAAAUAUGCAUACCAACAUGCUCACACAAUAAGAUGUCAAAUAAAUCAUGGUGAAUAUGCACAAACAUUCUAGCAUCUAUCAAGCACUUUGGCGAUGACGAAGUCAUCUCUAUAUGAGUAUAUUGACUUAGGAUCCAAGUAAGAAUACUUGAUCAUAGGUCAUACUCAUCCAUUAAGCACAAGUGGGGUUACGACUUUUACAUAAUGCAUUAAUGAGUUCACAUCGUUUAGGAGACUCUUAUACUCAAGUCUUAGAGUGAAUCUCCCCAUAGAUGUGACAUCCCCCUAAGAGGGAUAAACUAACCUUGGGGUUUGACGUAGAAGACUUCAAAUAGAUGAAGUAGUGGUGGAUACUCAUUGCUGAAGAAGAUCAUGUUGAGUUGGGAGCAAUCCUUGUUGUUUCUUACUCUUCUCACCUACAUAGGUUAGUCCCAAAGAAAAAGUAACAAAUGCAAGGAUAUUUAUGGACAUGGAGUGAAAUACAUGGGAGGUGAUGUCUAAAGAUGCAUUAUUACCUUGUCCCUUCCUCACCUUUGAGGGAAUGCAUGCCUCCUUGAACUAAUGCAUGUGGUUGGAGUUGAUUGCAUAUAGUUCUUGCCAAAAUGAAUAAGAGUGAAUUUCAUUGGUGAAGUAACCCCUCAAGAACUUUCUAGUUCUUCCUCUUAGGGACCCACAUAACCUUGAUGGGUAUCCUUGGAGUUGUUGUAGCACUAGAUGAGGUAGUACUAGAAGUGUCCUUGGGAACCCACUCCACCUUGGCUUGGGGUUCUUCCUCAAAUGAGUCAAUCUCCUCUUGAACCUUUCCCUUGCCCUUGUGGUAUUGUGGUAGAAGUCCAUGUUGAGAGCUUCUUCCCUUGGGAGGAGUAGGAUCAUACUUCUCCUCUUGAGGAACAAACUUGGGAAUGGGAUAUGGACCUUCUUUGCAAACAUCUCCGUUGACGUUGAAGUAGCCAACACCUUGCUUCUUCCGAUAUCCUCCUUGCUUGCAGAAAAUUUCCUCGAAUUGCUUACUUCCGACAAGACUCUUGAAAACACCUCUCUCUAUAAUCCCUUUCAAUAAAUCAUUUUCUUGCUCAAGUGUAACUUGGCUAAGAGAAUCAUUAGUGGAAUCAAGAGAGCUACUAGCAACAACACCAUUGGAUCUAGCUUUAGCAUUGUUGUUGCUAGAUGAAGAAACUUUCUUGCCUUUGAUACUAGUGUUCUUAGGUUUAACUUGUGGAAUAAAGGUAGACAAGAGUAGUCGUUUUUCUAGAUACGAGGAACUCUUCUUUCCAACAUCAUUAUUGAUUGAUUUUAGGAACUCAUGCUCUUGCUCUAAAUUUAGCUUCUGGAAGCGUAGCUUCUCAUGAGUUCUUGCAAGCUCUCUAUGAUCUUCUAGAGUAGUUUCAUGAGCUAAUUUUAAGAGUGUUUAAUUCUUUAGUUAGUUGUUCAAUCUCCUUCUUAUCAUCAUCAUUCAAUUUAUCUUAACUAGCAUGAUUACUUUCAAGUUCAUUUUCAACGUUAUCACUAGUCUUAUCAAAGAGCAAGCCAUCUUCCCCUAACAAUUCACCCUCAUCACUAUCAAAGUCAAUAUACUCGGGGUGUGAUACCUUGGGGCCUUUUGCCAUGAAGAAGUUUCCAAUCCCUUCAUUUGGUGAAUACAAUAAGUUGUAGGAGUUGGAGGAAACAAGUGCUAGACUGGCAAAACCUUCAUCUUGACUGUAGUCGGAGUUGGAAUUAUAGCUUCUCUCGGAUUGGUUGUCAGACUCGGAGCCGGAAACCCAACGUGAGCUUGAUGUCUUCUUCUUGAACCGCUCUCAGUGUACUUGUCCUUCCUCUCCGAUUCUUUGCCUCUUCGGGAGUGUCUUCGUACAUAAUGAUCUUCUCUACUGCUUCUCUCUAUGCAAGGUAACUCAUAUCUUGAGCUUCGUAUUCUAGGUGACUCUUCCUCUUCAUUUGUGGGGAGCUGAGCACUCAUUGGAAAAGUGUCCGGGCUUUCCACAGUUGUAGCAGUUAUGAUCACGGCUAGACAAACGCUUCACAUCAUCUCUUGAUCUUGAGUUUCUUUCUUUGCCUCGACUCUUGUAGAACUUGUUGAAUUUUCUGACCAUCAGGAUGAUCUCUUCAUUGGUAAGAAGGUUGUCACUUGAAGUAGCGGGAGUAUCACUUGAAGCUUUGUAAGCACCGCUUGACUUGUUGUGCAACUCAUCUUUGUGCUCGACCGACAUUUCAUGAGCAACAAUCCUUCCAAUGACUUGAGUUGGCUUGAGAUCCUUGUAGUUUGGCAUCAUUUGGAUUAAUUUGCGCAAGGUGUCGUUUCUUCCAUCCAAGGCUCUAAGUAUCUUCUUGAUGAUGAAUUUGUCGGUCAUCUCUUCACUUCCUAAGCCGACAAUCUCAUUUGUGAUGAAAGCUAGCCUAGAAUACAUCUCAACGACUCCUUCACCAUCCUUCAUCUUGAACUUGUCAAGCUGACUUUGAAGCACAUCCAACUUAGAUUCUGUGACAUAAUUAGUACCUUUGUGCAUAUCAAUCAAAGUAUCCCAAAUUAUCUUUGCAUUCUCAAGGCGACUGAUUUUGUUGAAUUAUUCGGGACACAAGCAGUUGAACAGGAUAUCAUAGGCUUGAGCAUUGUAUUACAACAUCUUCAGCUCAUCCACUGUCGCAUCACGAUCCGAUGCUUUUCCUUCUCCGAAGAAAUCACCUAGUAUAGUAACAUGAAUAACAACCCAAAUGGCAGGAUUAUGACCGAGAAUAUGCAUUUUCAUCUUAUGCUUCCAACUAGAGAAAUUAGUGCCAUUCAAAUGUGGACCUCUAUGGUGAUAAUUUCCCUCACUAGACGCCAUACUCUCCUAGGUUGUGAAACCAAUGCAAUGGAGACCAAAGCUCUGAUGCCACUUGUAGGAUCAAAAGUAUGUCUAUAGGGGCGAGGGGUGUUUUGACUACUUGACAAGAUAAAAACUUAGUAUUUUCCCAAUUUUAGUUGUGGGCUAGUUUUAGCAAUUAUGACUAGUCAAGUACACCAUACACAUGCACAUCUAAGAGUAUAGUAGUGGUAAGUUAGACAUGCAAAUGUAAAGUAGAGGGUAUGGUAGGGAGACUGAAUGCAAAAGUUGACAUGGCAAUUUUUGGCAUGGUUCCCAUAUGUGGCGCUAUUGUACGUCCAUGUUAGUGGAGACUUCAACCCAUGGAGGGUAACGGCUGUGAGAGUCCACCCUCCAAAAUCUAGGAGGCACCACCCUCCAAAAUCUAAUCUAUGAAUGAGAGGUAAGUGGAGGGGUAUAUGUAGACAUCCCCCAAAAUCCAACCAUUACAACAUUAUUACCAAACUCGGUGACCCCGAAAAGAAUCUCGGUGCUACCGACUUCCACUAAAUGUGGCAACUUUUGAAUUAUCGGUGAGAACGAUAUAGAAUCUCGGUGGUACCAAUACAAUGACCUAGACCAAUUUCCAAAUUUGGAAAUUUCAAUUCUUGAAAUCUUCUCAACAGAAAGUUGGUCACUCAAUCUCGGUGGCACCAAUGUGAAAGUUGGUGGUACCGAGAUGGUAGGGUUUCGCAUAGGAUAUGUCAAGUGUAAAAUUGGUAGGGCCGAGUGGUAAUAGUUGGUGGCACCGAUUUUGCUGGUCUGGCUUUGGACAGAGAUAUUUUGUGGGAGAAUGGUUGAGCAUUUUUGGCGGCUACCUCUAAGCACUUGAGCAACCAAUUCAUCAUAAUACCUCAUCGCCUUUUAAUAGUAUUGGCUUUCCUAUGGACUCGAAGUGAUUCCUAACAAAUGUAAAAUCUAGAGCCUUCUUGCUUGAAGCUUGAGCCAAUCCUAUACCUUCCUUGCAUCAAGGGGCUUCUCCUCACAAUCCUAUAGCCAAGGCAUCUUUGAACUUUUCUGAAAUAUACUUGAAUAGACUCAUUAGUCCAAUGAUGCAUAUGUUGUGAUUAAUUGCCAAAACCACCUUAGGGAGCAAUUGUGCUUUCACUCAUCUCUUGAGCUUCGUCUUCUAGUUGACUCUUCUCUUCUUUUUUAGGGGGUCGAGCACUCAUUGGAGUAGUGUCUGGGCCUUCCACAAUUGUAGCAGUUUCUGUCAUGACUAGAUGAACGCUUCUCUUCAUAUCUUGAGUUGAAGCUUCUCUCUUUGCCUCUACUCUUGUAGAACUUGUUGAAUUUAUUCACCAUGAGGCUUAUCUGUUCAUUGGUGACAAGGUUUUCAUUUGAAGUAGUGGGAGUAUCACUUGAAGCUUUGUAAGCACCGUUUGGCUUGUUAUGCAGCUCUUUUUUCUCCUUGAGUGACAUUUUAUGAGAAACAAUCCUACCAAUGACUUCCCUUGGCUUGAGAUCUUUGUAGUUUGGCAUCAUUUUGAUCAAUGUGCACGUGGUGUUGUACUUUUCAUCCAAGACUCUAAGGAUCUUCUUGAUGUUGAAUUUUUCGGUUAUCUCUUCGCUUCCUAAACCGGCAAUCUCAUUUGUGAUGAGAGCUAGACUAGAGUACAUCUCAGCGACUCCUUCACCAUACUUCAUCUUGAACAUGUCAAGCUAACUUUGUAGCACAUCCAACUUAAAAUCUAUGGCGGAUUCGGUACCUUCGUGCAUAUCAACCAAAGUAUCCCAAAUUUCCUUCGCAUUCUCAAGACGGCUAAUCUUGUUGAACUAUUUGCUGGAAAUAUGCCCUAGAGGCAAUGAUAAAAUAUUUAUUAUUAUAUUUCCUGUUUCAAGAUAAUCGUUUAUUAUCCAUGCUAUAAUUGUAUUGAAUUAAAACGUAGAUACAUGUGUGGAUACAUAGACAAAACAAUGUCCCUAGCAAGCCUCUAGUUGGCUAGCCAGUUGAUCAAGGAUAGUCAAGGUUUUCUGACUAUAUGCUAGUGUUGUCACUUGAUAACUGGAUCACAUCAUUAGGAGAAUCAUGUGAUGGACUAGACCCAAACUAUGAACCUAGCAUGUGAUCGUGUCAUUUUGUUGCUAUUGUUUUCUGUGUGUCAAGUAUUUAUUCCUAUGACCAUGAGAUCAUAUAACUCACUGGCAUCGGAGGAAUACCUUAUGUGUAUCAAACAUCACAACGUAACUGGGUGACUAUAAAGGUGCUCUACAGGUAUCUCCGAAGGUGUCCGUUGAGUUAGUAUGGAUCAAGACUGAGAUUUGUCACUCCGUGUGACGGAGAGGUAUCUCGGGGCGCACUCGGUAAUAUAACAUCACAAACAAGCCUUGCAAGCAAUGUGACUAAGUGUAAGUCACAGGAUCUUGUAUUACGGAACGAGUAAAGAGACUUGCCGAUAACGAGAUUGAAAUAGGUACGCGGAUACCGACGAUCGAAUCUCGGGCAACUAACAUACCGAAGGACAAAGGGAAUGACAUACGGGUUUAUAUGAAUCCUUGGAACUAAGUUUAAACCGAUAAGAUCUUCAGAGAAUAUGUAGGAUCCAAUAUGGGCAUCCAGGUCCCGCUAUUGGAUAUUGACCGAGGAGUGUCUCGGGUCAUGUCUACAUAGUUCUCGAACGUGCAGGGUCUGCACACUUAAGGUUCGAUGAUGUUUUAGUAUAGUUGAGUUAUAUGUGUGGUUACUGAAUGUUGUUCGGAGUCCCGGAUGAGAUCACAAACAUCACGAGGGUUUCCGGAAUGGUCCGGAGACGAAGAUUGAUAUAUAGGAUGGUUUCAUUUGGUCACCGGAAAGUUUCGGGCAUUACCGAGAGUGUACCGGGAGUGACGAAUGGGUUCCGGGUGUUCACCGGAAGGGGCCGACACAGCCGGGAUUGAGCCCAGUGACCCUAGGGUGGCGCACCAGCCCUUAGUGGGCUGGUGAGGCCAGCCCAAUAGGGCCAUGGCGCCACAAAGAAAAAAAAACCAAAGGAAACAAAAAAAGGGAAGAGGGAGGUGGGAAGGAAGAGGAGGACUCCUCCUUCAAACCGAAUUGGAGUAGGAGUCCUCCUCUCCCUUCGACCAACGCACCAAGGGGCUCCUUGAGCUCCAAGGCUAGCCCCUACCCUCCUCCUAUAUAUAUUGGUGGUUUAGACAUUUUUGAGACACAACUUUGCCACGUGCAACUCAAACCUAUACCACAUAGUUUUACCUCUAGAUCGGAUAUCUGCGGAGCUCGGGCAGAGCCCUGCAGGAGUAGAUCAUCACCACCACCGGAGCGCCAUCACGCUGCCGAAGAAAUCAUCUACUUCUCCGUCUCUCUUGCUGNNNNNNNNNNNNNNNNNNNNNNNNNNNNNNNNNNNNNNNNNNNNNNNNNNNNNNNNNNNNNNNNNNNNNNNNNNNNNNNNNNNNNNNNNNNNNNNNNNNNNNNNNNNNNNNNNNNNNNNNNNNNNNNNNNNNNNNNNNNNNNNNNNNNNNNNNNNNNNNNNNNNNNNNNNNNNNNNNNNNNNNNNNNNNNNNNNNNNNNNNNNNNNNNNNNNNNNNNNNNNNNNNNNNNNNNNNNNNNNNNNNNNNNNNNNNNNNNNNNNNNNNNNNNNNNNNNNNNNNNNNNNNNNNNNNNNNNNNNNNNNNNNNNNNNNNNNNNNNNNNNNNNNNNNNNNNNUCUCUCUUGCUGGAUCAAUAAGGCCAAGAUCGUCAUCGACCUGUACGUGUGCUGAACGCGGAGGUGCCGUCCGUUCGGCGCUAGAUCGGAACGGAUCGUGGGACGACGGUGAUUUGAAACAUGAAGCUGUACCACUACAUCAACCGCGUUUAUUAACGCUUCCCGCAUAGCGAUCUACAAGGGUACGUAGAUCUAAUAUCCUCUUGUAGAUGGACAUCACCAUGAUAGGUCUUCGUGUGCGUAGGAAUUUUUUUGUUUCCCAUGCAGCGUUCCCCAACAGUGGCAUCAUGAGCUAGGUUCAUGCGUAGAUGUUAUCUCGAGUAGAACACAAAAGGUUUUGUGGACGUUGAUGUUCAAUUUGCUUCCCUCCUUAGUAUUUUCUCGAUUCGGCGGCAUUGGUGGAUUGAAGCGGCCCGGACCGACAUUACUCGUACGCUUACGAGAGACUGGUUUCAUCGACUGACAUGCAACUCGUUGCAUAAAGAUGACUAGCGGGUGUCGGUUUCUUCAACUUAAGUUGAAUUGGUUAUGACCGAGGCGGUCCUUGGAGAGAGGUUAAAUAGCAAUUUCACAUCUCCGUUGUGGUUUUUGCGUAAGUAAGAUGCAAUCAUACUAGAUACCCAUAACAGCCACGUGAAACACGCAACAACAAACUAGAGGACAUCUAACUUGUUUUUGCAGGGUAUGCUUGUGAUAUGAUAUGUCCAAUGACGUGAUGUGAUAUAUUGGAUGUAUGCGAUGAUCAUGUUGUAAUAGUUAAUAUCGACUUGCACGUUGAUGCUACGACAACCGGCAGGAGCCAUAGGGUUGUCUUUAAACUAACAUUUGUGUUUGCAGAUGCGUUUACUAUAUUGCUAGGUUGUAGCUUUAGUAGUAAUUGCAUAGAUAGCACGACAACCCCGAUGGCGGCACGAUGAUGGAGAUCAUGGUGUGGCGCCGGUGACAAGAAGAUCAUGCCGGUGCUUUGGUGAUGGAGAUCAAGAAGCACAAGAUGAUGGCCAUAUCAUGUCACUUAUGAAUUGCAUGUGAUGUUAAUCCUAUUAUGCACCUUAUUUUUCUUAGAACGACGGUAGCAUUAUAAGGUGAUCUCUCACUAAAAUUUCAAGAUAAAAUUGUGUUCUCCCCGACUAUGCACCGUUGCGACAGUUCGUUGUUUCGAGACACCACGUGAUGAUCGGGUGUGAUAGACUCAACGUUCACAUACAAUGGGUGCAAAAUAGUUGCACACGCGGAACACUCGGGUUAAACUUGACGAGCCUAGCAUGUGCAUACAUGGCCUCGGAACACAUGAGACCGAAAGGUCGAGCAUGAAUCGUAUAGUUGAUAUGAUUAGCAUAGAGAUGCUUACCACUCAAACUAUUCUCAACUCACGUGAUGAUCGGACUUGAGUUAGUGAAUUUGGAUCAUGUACCACUCAAAUGACUAGAGAGAUGUACUUUUUGAGUGGGAGUUUAUCAAUAAUUUUAUUAGUUAAACUCUAAUUAUCUUAAACAUAGUCUAAGUCCACUUUGCAAUAUUUGUGUUGUAGAUCAAUGGCUCACGCAGUAGAAACCCUGAAUUUUAAUACGUUCCUAGAGAAAGCUAAGUUGAAAGAUGAUGGAAGCAACUUUGUAGACUGGGCUCGUAAUCUAAAGUUGCUCCUGCAAGCUGGGAAGAAGGAUUAUGUCCUUAAUGCUGCGCUAGGAGAUGAACCACCCGCUACGUAUAGCCAAGAUGUUUUGAACGCCUAGUUAACACGUAAGGAGGACUACUCAGUAGUUCAAUGUGCAAUCUUGUAUGGCUUAGAGCCGGGACUUCAACGUCGCUUUGAGCGUCAUGGAGCAUAUGAGAUGUUCCAGGAGUUGAAGUUUAUCUUUCCAAAGAACGCCCGAAUCGAGGGGUAUGAGACCUUUGAUAAAUUCUAUGCUUGCAAGAUGGAGGAGAAUUCGUCUGUUAGUGAACUUGUGCUCAAAAUGUUUGGGUACUCAAAUCGUCUAGCUGAGCUGGGGAUUGAACUCCCGCAAGAGGCUAUGACUAACAGAAUUCUUCAAUCACUGCCACCUAGCUAUAAGAGAUUUGUGUUGAACUAUAACAUGCAAGGGAUGAACAAGUCACCCGACGAGUUAUUCACGAUGCCGAAAGUCGCAGAGUCAGAACUCCGGAAAGAACAUCAAGUGUUGAUGGUCAAUAAGACCACUGGUUUCAAGAGAAAUGACAAAGGCAAGAAGGGUAACUCCAAGAAGAGCGGCAAGCCUAUUGCCAAUCCGACGAAGAAACCCAAGGCUGGACCUAAGCCUGAAACAAAGUGUUAUUAUUGCAAGGGACUGGGUCACUGGAAGCGCAACUGCCCCAAGUAUUUGGCUGAUAAGAAGGCGGCCAAUGAAAAAUCAGGUAUAUUUGAUAUACUUGUUAUUGAUGUGUACUUAACCAACUAUCGUAGUAGUGCCUGGGUAUUCGAUACCGGUUCUGUUGCUCAUAUUUGCAACUCGAAGCAGGAACUGCGGAAUAAACGAAGGCUGGCGAAGGAUGAAGUGAUGAUGCGCGUGGGAAAUGGUUCCAAAGUUGAUGCAAUCGCCGUCGGCACAGUGUCACUUCAAUUACCAUCAGGAUUAGUUAUAAACUUAAAUAGUUGUUAUUUAGUGCCUGCGUUAAGCAUGAACAUUAUAUCUGGAUCUUGUUUAUUGCGAGACGGUUACUCGUUUAAGUCAGAGAAUAAUGGUUGUUCUACUUCUAUGAGUAAUAUCUUUUAUUGUCAUGCACCCAAUGUGAGAGGAUUGUUCAUAUUGAAUCUUGAUAGCGGUGAUACACAUAUACAUAACAUUGAGACCAAAAGAUGUAGAGUUAACAAUGAUAGUGCCAUAUUUUUGUGGCACUGCCGCUUAGGUCAUAUUGGUGUAAAACGCAUGAAGAAACUCCAUUCCGAUGGGCUUUUGGAGUCACUUGAUUUUGAAUCACUUGACACGUGCGAACCAUGCCUCAUGGGCAAGAUGACUAAGACUCUAUUCUCCAGAACAAUGGAGCGUGCAAGUGACUUGUUGGAGAUCAUACAUACCGAUGUGUGCGGUCCAUUGAGUGUGGAGGCACGCUGGGGAUAUCGUUAUUUUCUCACCUUCACUGACGAUUUGAGUAGGUAUGGAUAUAUCUACUUGAUGAAGCACAAGUCUGAAACAUUUGAGAAGUUCAAGCAAUUUCACAGUGAGGUUGAAAAUCAUCGUAACAAGAAGAUCAAGUUCCCACGUUCUGAUCGUGGGGGUGAAUGUCUGAGUUUCGAGUUUGGUGCUCACUUAAGACAAUGUGGAAUUGUUUCCAAGUUGACACCGCCUAGAACACCAUAGCGUAAUGGUGUGUCCGAAUGUCGUAAUCUUACUUUGUUAGAAAUGGUGCGAUCUAUGAUGUCUCUUACCGAUUUGCCGUUAUCAUUUUGGGGUUAUGCAUUAGAGACAACUGCAUUCACUUUAAAUAGGGCACCAUCAAAAUCCGUUGAGACGACACCAUACGAGCUAUGGUAUGGCAAAAGACCAAAGUUGUCGUUUCUUAAAGUUUGGGGAUGUGAUGCUUAUGUCAAAAAGCUUCAACCUGAAAAGAUGGAACCCAAAGCGGAAAAGUGCGUCUUCAUAGGUUACCCAAAGGAGAUAGUUGGGUACACCUUCUAUCUCAAAUCCGAGGGCAAAGUGUUUGUUGCUAAAAAUGGAGCUUUUCUUGAGAAGGAGUUUCUCUCGAAAGAAUUGAGUGGGAGGAAGAUAGAACUUGAUGAGGUUGUCGAACCUCUAAUCCCUCUAGAUGGUGGCGCAGGGCAUGGGGAAACCUGUGUCGAAGCGACGCCGGUUGAGGAGGAAGUUGAUGAUGAUGAUCAUGAAACUUUGGAUAAAGUUCCUAUCAGACCUCGCAGGUCGACAAGAGCACGUACUACUCGUGAGUGGUACGGUAAUCCUGUCUUAUCAAUCAUGUUGUUAGACAACAAUGAACGUGCGAAUUAUGAAGAAGCAAUGGUGGGCCCGUAUUCCAACAAAUGGUGGAGGCCAUGAAGUCCGAGAUAGGAUCUAUGUAUGAAAACAAAGUGUGGACUUUCGAAGUAUUACCUAAAGGCCGCAAGGCUAUUGAGAACAAAUGGAUCUUUUAGAACAAGACGGGCGUGAAUGGUAAUGUGACCAUUUAUAAAGCUCGACUUGUGGCAAAGGGUUUUUCACAAGUUCAAGGAGUUGACUACAAUGAGACCUUCUCACCGGUAGCGAUGCUUAAGUCCGUCCGAAUCAUGUUAGCAAUAACUGCAUUUUUCAAUUAUGAAAUCUGGCAGAUGGAUGUCAAAACGGCGUUCCUUAACGGUUUUCUGAAGGAAGAGUUGUAUAUGAUGCAACCCAAAGGUUUUGUCGAUCCAAAAAAUGCUAACAAAGUAUGCAAGCUCCAGCGAUCCAUUUAUGGACUGGUCCAAGCAUCUCGGAGUUGGAAUAAGCGCUUUGAUGAGGUGAACAAAGCAUUUGGGUUUAUACAAGUGGUUGAAGAAUCUUGUAUUUAUAAGAAAGUGAGUGGGAGCUGUGUGGGUUUUCUAAUAUUAUAUGUGGAUGACAUACUGCUGAUUGGAAACAACGUGGAGUUUUUGGAGAGCGUAAAGGAUUACUUGAAUAAAAGUUUCUCUAUGAAGGACCUAGGAGAAGCUGCUUACAUUCUAGGCAUUAAGAUCUAUAGGGAUAGAUCAAGACGCCUGAUAGGACUUUCACAAAGCACAUACCGUGCUAAAGUUUUGAAGAAGUUCAAAAUGGAACAGUCCAAGAAGGGCUUCUUGCCAGUGUUACAAGGUAUAAAAUUGAGUAAAACUCAGUGCCCAGCAACUACGGAAGAUAGAGAACAAAUGAGUUCCGUCCUCUAUGCUUUAGCCAUAGGUUCUAUCAUGUAUGCAAUGCUGUGCACUAGACCAGACGUAACUUGGCCAUAAGUAUGGAAGGUAGGUUUCAAAGUAAUCCAGUAGUGGAUCACUGGACGGCGGUCAAGAAUAUUCUGAAGUACCUGAAAAGGAUUAAGGAAAUGUUUCUCGCUUAUGGAGGUGACGAAGAGCUCGUCGUAAAGGGUUACGUCGACGCAAGCUUUGGCACUGAUCCGGAUGACUCUAAGUCUCAAACCGGAUACGUAUUUAUUCUUAAUGGGGGUGCGAUAAGCUGGUGCAGUUCCAAGCAAAGCGUAGUAGCAAAUUCUACAUGUGAAGCGAAGUACAUGGCUGCCUCGGAGGCAGCUAAGGAGGGUGUCUGGAUGAAGCAGUCCAUGAUGGAUCUUGGAGUUGUGCCGAGCGCACUAAAUCCAAUCACUCUGUUCUGUGACAACACUGGUUCCAUUGCUUUAGCAAAGGAACCAAGGUCUCACAAGAAGACCAGGCACAUCAAACGACGCUUCAACCUCAUCCGCGGCUAUGUCGAAGGAGAGGACGUAUAUAUUUGCAAAGUGCACACGGAUCUGAAUGUAGCAGAUAAGUUGACUAAACCUCUUCCGCGGGCAAAACAUGAUCAACACCAGAACUGUAUGGGUGUUAUAUUUCUUACAAUGUAAAUCGCAUGGCGAUGUGAGGACUAGAUUAUUGACUCUAGUGCAAGUGGGAGACAAUUGGAAAUAUGCCCUAGAGGCAAUGAUAAAAUAGUUAUUAUUAUAUUUCCCGUUUCAAGAUGAUCGUUUAUUAUCCAUGCUAUAAUUGUAUUGAAUGAAAACAUAGAUACAUGUGUGGAUACAUAGACAAAACAAUGUCCCUAGCAAGCCUCUAGUUGGCUAGCUAGUUGAUCAAGGAUAGUCAAGGUUUUCUGACUAUAUGCAAGUGUUGUCACUUGAUAACUGGAUCACAUCAUUAGGAGAAUCAUGUGAUGGAUUAGAUCCAAACUAUGAACAUAUCAUGUGAUCAUAUCAUUUUGUUGCUAUUGUUUUCUGCGUGUCAAGUAUUUGUUCCUAUGACCAUGAGAUCAUAUAACUCACUAGCACCGGAGGAAUACCUUGUGUGUAUCAAAUGCCGCAACGUAACUGGGUGACUAUAAAGGUGUUCUACAGGUAUCUCCAAAGGUGUCCGUUGAGUUAGUAUGGAUCAAGACUAGGAUUUGUCACUCCAUGUGAUAGAGAGGUAUCUCGGGGCCCACUUGGUUAGAUAACAUCACAAACAAGCUUUGCAAGCAAUGUGACUAAGUGUAAGUCACGAGAUCUUGUAUUACGGAGCGAGUAAAGAGGCUUGCCGGUAACGAGAUUGAAAUAGGUAUGCGGAUACCGACGAUCGAAUCUCGGGCAAGUAACAUACCGAAGGACAAAGGGAAUGACAUACGGGAUUAUAUGAAUCCUUGGCACUGAGGUUCAACCGAUAAGAUCUUCAGAGAAUAUGUAGGAUCCAAUAUGGGCAUCCAGGUCACGCUAUUGGAUAUUGACCGAGGAGUGUCUUGGGUCAUGUCUGCAUAGUUCUCGAACCCGCAGGGUCUGCACACUUAAGGUUCGAUGAUGUUUUAAUAUAGUUGAGUUAUAUGUGUGGUUACUGAAUGUUGUUCGGAGUCCCGGAUGAGAUCACAAACAUCACGAGGGUUUCCGGAAUGGUCUGGAGACGAAGAUUGAUAUAUAGGAUGGUUUCAUUUGGUCACCGGAAAGUUUCGGGCAUUACCGAGAGUGUACCGGGAGUGACGAAUGGGUUCCGGGUGUUCACCGGAAGGGGCCCACCCACCCGGGAUUGAGCCCAGUGACCCUAGGGUGGCGCACCAGCCCUUAGUGGGCUGGUGAGUCCAUCCCAAUAGGGCCAUGGCGCCACAAAGAAAAAACCAAAGGAAAGAAAAAAAGGGAAGAGGGAGGUGGGAAGGAAGAGGAGGACUCCUCCUUCCCCAAACCAAAUUGGAGUAGGAGUCCUCCUCUCCCUUUGGCCGGCGCACCAUGGGGAUCCUUGAGCCCCAAGGCUAGCCCCUACCCUCCUCCUAUAUAUAUUGGUGGUUUAGGGAUUUUUGAGACACAACUUUGCCACGUGCAACUCAAACCUAUACCACGUAGUUUUACCUCUAGAUCGGAUUUCUGCGGAGCUCGGGCGGAGCCCUGCAGGAGUAGAUCACCACCACCACUGGAGCACCAUCACGCUGCCGGAGAACUCAUCUACUUCUCCGUCUCUCUUGCUGGAUCAAGAAGGCCGAGAUCGUCAUCGAGCUGUACGUGUGCUGAACGCGGAGGUGUCGUCCAUUCAGCGCUAGAUCGGAAUGGAUCGUUGGACGGAUCGUGGGACGACGAUGAUUUGAAUCACGAAGCUGUACCACUACAUCAACCACGUUUCUUAAUGCUUCCCGCUUAGCAAUCUACAAGGGUACGUUGAUCUAAUCUUCUCUUGUAGAUGGACAUCACCAUGAUAGGUCUUCGCGUGCGUAGGAAUUUUUUUGUUUCCCAUGGAGCAUUCCCAAACUCUCUUCGGGGUAUAGGUAGUUGAAUAGAAUGUCACAUGCUUGAGCGUUAUAUUGCAACAUCUUCAAUUUUUUCACGGCCAGUUCAUGAUCCGGCUCCCUUCCAUCACCAAAGAAUUCACCUUGCAAACCAAUAUGAACAACAACCCAAAUGGCGGGGUUAUGACCAAGAAAAUGCAUUUUCAUCUUAUGCUUCCAACUACCAAAGUUUGUACCAUCAAUGUAUGGACCUGUACGGUAAUAAUUUCCCUCACUAGGCGCCAUACUGUCCUAAGUUGUGAAACAUAUGCAAUGGAGACCAAGGCUGUGAUAACACUUGUAGGAUCCAAAGUAUGUCUAGCACGAGGGGGGGGGGUGAUUAGACUACUUGACCGAGUAAAAACUUAGCCUUUUCCCAAUCUUAGUUGUGGGAAAGUUUUAGCAAUUAUAGCGAGUCAAACACACCCUACACAUGCAAGUCUAAGAGUAUAGCACCAGAAAGUAAAGACAUGCAUAUGUAAAUAGAAGGUAGGGAUAGGAAGAUCAAAUGCAAAGACCGACAUGGUAAUUUUUGGCAUGGUUCUGAUAGGUGGUGCUAUCGUACAUCCACGUUGAUGGAGACUUGAACCCACGGAGGGCGAUGGCUGCGCGAGUCCACAGAGGGCUCAACCCACGAAGGCUCCACGGAGAAGCAACCUUGUCUAUUCCAUCACAAAUUACGUCCAUGAAUGACUAGCCUCACUGGGGUAGAUGUUCAUGAAGUAGGCAAUCUCCUUGCCCUUAAAAACUUUUUGGUCCAACUCCACAACACGAAGUAGGAGGCUGCCAAACGUCACCUAACCAAUCUAGGAGACACCACUAUCCAAAAGGUAAUAGAUGCGGUAGUAUGAUGAACUCCUUACUCUUGUGCCUCAAAAGAUAGUGUCCUCAACACUCGAUCACUCUCUCACAGAUUUGGCUUGGGUAGAAGAGGUUGAUUGGGUGAAAAGCAAUUUGGGGAGGCUAGAAAUCAAGAUUCAUAUGGUAGGAAUGGAAUUCUUGGUCUCGACACAUGAGUAGGUGGCUCUCUCUCAGAAAUAUGGAUAUGGAAAAUGUUGGGUCGUUUUAAGUGCUUCCUCUACGAAUGAGAGGUGGUGGAGAGGUAUAUGUAGGCAUCUCCAAAAAUCCAACCAUUACAACAUUAUUGCUCAACUCUGUGAAACCGAAGUGAAACUCGGUGGCACCAACUAGUGCAAAAUGUGUCAACUUUUGUCUUUUCGGUGAGACCAAUAUAUGAAUAUCCAUGGUAUCGAUUUUGGAUGGCCUAGUCAGUUUCCACAACUCGGUGAGACCGGUUCUCAAAACUCGGAAAUUCUGAUUUUAAGAAGUUGGUUACCCGAGUCGGGGGCACUGAUUUUGGUUGCACCAAAAUGGCAUUUGGUGGUACCAAGAAUCUAGGGUUUGGCAUGGGAUAUGUGUGAUGGAAAACUCGUACAGCCGAAUGGAAAAAGUUGGUGGCUCCAGAUUUUGGAAUUUUGGAAUUUGAAAGAAUAUUUGUGGGAGAAUUUCAUGAGUAUUUUUGGUGGCUAUCUCUAAGCACUUGAGCAACCAGAUCAUCAUAGUCACCUCAUCCCCUUUUAAUAGUAUUGGCUUUCCUAUGGUGCCGCGUCGCCGCUGGGUGGUGCCGUGGUUGCACUACAAAAUAAAGACACAUCCGUGAUAUUAUGACUCAAACAAAAAAUAUUUUUCGCAUGGAAGUGAUACUUUCAUGAUGAUAAUUGUGACAAAAAUAAGUAUCAUCAUAGAUGUGCUGGACUCCCACUUCUAUGACAAAAAUAUGACACAAAAUGAGCUUUUCAUCCUGGGCAGACCGGAGUCGGACCUGUAUCACAUUCUUUGGUCGUCCAUGACGUAAGAGAUCAUGGUAGAAGUGAGGGCGAUUUUUUUGGGGAUUUCUAGGCAUACGGUCCGUGGCUGGGCCCGAGCAAUGCAGGGAUGCUUGCGUGCCUCUUUUGUACGUGCGUGUGUGCGAGCCCUUCAUUCACUAAACCCGAGCAAGCGUGUCGCUCGCUUACUGAACCCGAGUGAACGAUCCCUUGCACUACAUAGUGGACCUGAGAGAUCGAUUCCUCACACUACAUACUGAACCCGAUUGAUUGAUCCCUCACACUACAUACUGAACCCGAGUGAUCCCUCGCAAUACUUCUGAACCCUCACGGUCCCUUUGCUGCUUACGAAAUUCGAGUGAUCCUUCAGUACUUACUGAACCUGAUUGAUGCGAGUGAGACUCGUGUGCGUACAUAGUUUGCCGGCCCAAUCAAUCGAUGCAUUGCUUAGAGCCCCCACUCGAUACGUGAGUUCACCUAAACGCUUGGUUGCGUCUCAAUGAAUAGUCCCCGUUGAUGCUGCAUGAGCGUUACAUAGAUCGGGUCGAGACCAGCAACCGGUGGCAUCAAUCAGACCCCUUGCGUGUGACGCAUUGACCUAGCCGGUUGGUUGGAGGUGGAUGAGUAGUCGUUGUAGCUAACGCGCACAUGUACGCCCAACCCCAAUGGGUUGGGAUUGGAUGAACAAGACCCUGUGGCAGUGGGCGGUUUGCUUUGGAUGAACAUGAAUCGAGUAGGCCAUUCUGCAGUAUGCCACACCCAGUCAGUUGUGUGUGGAUGAAUAGGACCUCGUGGAGGAUGUAAGCAGUUAACGGUGGUUAAACAAUAUCCCCUGGAUACGGUUCCACCAUAGGCCACACCCCUUCAGAUGAACAAGACCCUGUUUUGAACGUGGGCGGUUGACGCUGGAUGAACAUGACCCCGUUUCAGCCGUUUUGCAGUAUGCCACACCCCAACCGGUGGGGAGAGGGUCGAUGAACAAGACCCCAUUUUUGUCUGUUCCGUCCUAACCUCUUGGCUCGCGAUGGACACGACACUGUUUUGACUGUUCUGAGCUAGUCGGCUAGCUCCUGAUGAACAAGACACCGUUUUGGCCGUCCAACCUCAACUUCUUGUUGGUGCUCGAUGAAAAGACCCUGUUCCCCAUUGCUGCGUACCCACAUCGUCCUGUGCAGCCAUCCGUAUAUACGCGAGUACACUCUGUCGACUGCUACACGAAUAUUUGGCCCGUAUUUUUUGCACCAUGGCUAUACAUACGUGUACAUCAUUUAGAUGGGACUGUGUGACCUGCUACGUCGGGGGCCGAAAUUCCUACUACGUCAGUCGCUCCUUACUCAACCACGAUUCAUCGUUGUCGUUGCUCUAUCAUUUUCAAGAGGCAAAUUAAUUCUAUAGUCACCCAUUUUCAAAAGGCAAUAGGUUUUACAGGGACCUGUAUCACAAGAUCCAUUGUAGAGCUAACAACAGGUGUUCUAUAGGUCAUACAACAUGCAUCCCCAGAUUACUCCAUCUUCACUAAAGAAAUGGUGUAUCUUUUAACUUUAUCAACGGUAUCAGAGCCACGAGGCUUUAGAUGUGUUUUUGGUUGAAACAUGUACAAGAAAAAAAUUUCCCCUCCCUGAUAUGAACCCUAGAAGCGCAAAGAACAAGAUCAAAAAGAAAAGGCAAUGAAAGUCACCAGAUUUCCAGCCGGCAAAGAGCGCCGCCUUGGCAGCGCCCGUUCCCCUCAAUCCCCACAUGCAUCAGCAAGCCAAGGUGUGGGGAAGGACUCGCCUCUUCGGAGGCAAAGGAAAAUCAGAUUGAUCCAAAAAAGAAAACAAAAGAAAAGACACAAGAAUGCAACGACAAAUCUAUUCCCUCCGGGAGGCAAAAAGUACAACCACCGAUCCAUUCGACGACGGCGCGCUCACAGCAAGGGGAACACGCGACCGGCGAAGGGGUCGGCAGGGGCGCAGCAGCUCCGCCCAUCUAGGUGGCCGUCGGGCGCUGUAAGGGGCAAAGGCAACAACGCAAAAAAGUCGGAGGGGCAAAGGCAACAAGGCAAAAAAGUCGGAGGGGCAAAGGCAUCAUCACCGGGCCGCUUGACAGCGGCGCGUUCACCAAUCUGUGCUGGCGCACGCCGGCAAGAGAGCGGGGGAUGGUGCCGCCACUCCACAAUCAAAAAGAAAGGAAAAAUGGGGGAGACAAGAAGAGGCUGGCACGCGCGGCAGAAGGUGUUUCGUCCCCAUCGCCGGUGGCCGGUGCGACCGCCGUCGACGCGCAAGGGAGCAACUCUGCUCGCGUCUAUCUCUCAGAGGGGUGGAUCAGAGAAAGAUAAGGACUCGCGCGGCGCAGGGCAUUGCCUUGUUUUCGACAACAGAAGAGGAAUAGGCGCAACGUCGCGGGGUGGCAUCCGCCGCCGUCGCUGCCGGCCGGACCGUCGCACGCGUCCCGACGAGAGAGCGGGCGGAGAGAACGAGAAGAGGAGGAGAGUGGCGCAACAUGAAAUAAAAUGGGGCUAGGGUUCACGGGAGAGACAGAAAGGAGGUUUUGUUCCUGAGAAAAGCACGAAUGGCCGUCGGAUCCGAUCGGACGGCCAUGAAGAAACCCUAGCUCAGCCGCCGGGCCUUUUGGGCCGAAAGUAGAGGCAGACUAGGCCGUGGGCCGGCUGGCUUCUGCCAUGGGACUCGCGCACCGAGGCUAGAGGCCGGCCGAGACCAGGCCAUGAGCCGACUGGAGCUGGGGCAGGCCCACGUGACGCCAAUAGAGGCUCUCGCCUCUUUUCUUUUUGAAAAGAAGGUUUCUUUUUUUCUGUCUAGUUUUUAGAGAGAUUGAAAAUGGUUUUUUCUAUGCAUGUUUUCCAAUGAAAAUAUUGUUUAGAAAAUAGAAAACAAAAAGUUGAAAUUUUGUGUAAAAAUAGACAGAAAAGAAAUGUUAUUUUUUCUGAAAAUAAAUAAAUAAAAGGUUCUGAAAAUAAAAUAAGAUUUUUAGAAAAAGAAAAGUUCAUGGAUUUUAUAAAAGGGAUUAUAAAGUUCAUGAAUUUUUACUUUUAACAGAAUAUUUUUCUGUAAAGGUGCAUGAAUUUUAUAUUCACGUUUUUCCGCUGAAAGUAAAAGUUAAAUCCUCCAAUUAAAUUGGAAGCAACGGGAAAAUUUAAUUGGAAGAACUGUUCUUAGGAAUGCUUUUCCCCUGUGGGUGAAAUUAUAUUCAAAUAUUUUCCGCUAUGACAAAAUAAAAAUGUUUGUUUUAAAGUUAAAAUAUGGUAUUGUUGUUUUCUGACCAACGUUGAUGAUAACAAUACUAUAAUUCUAUGAGUCAUCUUAUGUUCAAAGAUCAAAUCUUUGAUAAAUUUUGUAUCAAAGUGUUCAAUUUUCAGAGAAUAGAUAGAGAAAUGUAUAUUUCUUGUUCCAUAGAAAUACCAUCAUCACAUUGUUUAUGAGUUAUAUGCAUUAUUUCCAUUUCUUCCCAACGGUGAUAUUGAAUUAAUGUAGAAGGAUGAUGCUUUAUUCUAAUUCUGCCACAACGGUGAUUUAGAAUAUAAAAGAAAGUUUUAAAAUGGUUUAAUGUGCAUAAUUUUAACCAGACCAACGUAGGUUUAUUUUUAUGCUCAUUAUUGUUGUUUAUUGGCUAAGUUUUCUCAGACUAAAAGUUUUUCAUGCUUUCAUUCAUGAAAGCGAAUGGCUGGGUACUAGUGACCCGAAAGAUGAACAAGAAAAGUCAUAACUUGAGGGAAUAUGUUCUCUCUAAAGAAUGUCUUCAAAAGAAAAGAGCUCUUGGAUAUUAAUUCAAGAAAAGAAAAGAGAUAGAUCAUUGAGAGUCUUGGUUGACGAAUGUCUUUCAUGUACUCUGUAUGAAGAAGUCUCCUUUUUCAGUCAAACAAGCAAAAUGCAUGUUUAAUUUGACCAAUGUCGGAUCAAGCAUGUGUUGGAAAGAUAAUUCAGAUUUAUUUCUGAAUUUGAUGAUUGAAUAUGCAGUCAAAAGAGCCAAUUAUGGCAUUUAUGUCCCUUACAGGGAAUUACCUGCAUAGUGGGAAAAUAUGAUUAUCAAAAAACCCGCAUGGCGGGAAAAGUCUGGGAAAAUACCUGCGUAACUGGGUAAAGUUGACAUUGUAUUAUGUCAACAAUCUGUGUAUAGUGGGAGAAAUUUUGACAAAGGACUUAUCCUGUAUGACAGGAGAAAGCUAUGAUGACUCAUGUGCGGUUAAUGUGUCCCACUAUGGGAGAAAAGUAUGGAGUAGCUAUUAAGCUUUCCUAGCAUCGACCGUACACCUUAUGUGUAACGGUCAUUUAGCAAUCAAUAAAUCCAAAGAGGAUAAAAGUAACAGAUGAACCUAAAGACAAGAAUGAUAUGCAAGUGUGACUUGCAAAAGUGCCAAUUAUAAAGAAUUCUGUUGAGUUUCUGAAAUGAAAUGAGGAAAAAGUACUCCCAUACUAGUUAACAUAUAACUUCAUUUUGCAUGAAGUGAUAAGAUGAAUGAACUAGAUAAUUGAAGUUUCCUCAAUUCACAAGAGUUAUGAAUGGGUUUCAAAAUUAUGGCAGACAAGUUCUUGCCACAUUUCGAGGGGGAGAAAGAGAUAUGAAAUACAUUGUAUUUCAUGACUCCCGUGUACUUUAGAUGAUGUGAUGCGCAUUAUGCAUGUAAAGUGAUCCAUUAAUGAAGAAUGUGAUUGUCAAGGGGAGUACGAGAGUCAUUAUAAUACCGUCAUUAUGAUAUCCCUAAAGAAAAGAAACAGUUGUAUUUCUGGAUCUUUUAAAGUUCCGAAAGCAGACUAAGGAAUACAACAAUGGUGCUUAAAGUGCCAUAAAGAAGAAAGUUUUAACAGAAUAAACCCAAAUGAUAAAGUUUAAAGAUACGCCAUUUCUUUAGUGAAGAUGGAGUAAUCUGGGGAGCAUGUUGUAUGACCUAUACAACACCUGUUGUUAACUCUACAAGGGAUCUUGUGAUACAGGUCCCUGUAAAACCUAUUGCCUUUUGGAAAUGGGUGACUAUAGAAUUAAUUUGCCUCUUGGCAAUGACAGAGCAACGACAACCCCAUAUGAAAGGAGUGCCAGUACUUGAGAUUUUGAUGGUCUCUAGGAAUGUGAAAAUCAGAUACUUCUGAUUACUAUAAAGUCUAUGUUAGUGAAAUUCCACCAUUUGAAUUUCACUAACAUAGAUUUUACAAAGGGUCUACAAGGAAAAUGUGACUCCAAAAGAAAUAUGUAAAGGUGUAAAGCAUGACUUAAAUCGAAAGAUUUUGUGCAAAGAGAAUGAAUAGAUAACAAUGAGUGUUGGUGGCACAUCAUGAUCGACAUCACGAUCUGAGUAACAUGAGAUGAAAGUAAAGAUCACAAGGAAUACUGCUUCAAGAAGUCUUUUAUGGACUAGAGCAAGUCUCUAGACAGUGACAUUUGAAGUUAAAAGAAUUAGAUGUUGUUUUGGGUUAAAGAAAAUGAGAGGACAAUUGUAUUCAUGCAAAGUUAUAGAAUGGGAAAUUUGUUUCCUAAUUCCUGUGCAUGUGGAUGACGUCCUACUUGCUAGUGGUGAUGUCAAUCUAUUGCAGGAGGAGAAAAGAAGUUCUUGUCCUCAAAGUUCAAAAGAAUAAAAGGGGGUAUUAGGAAUGUCGCAUGCACAUGCUAAGAAAGAUAUCUAAAGUAUGCAUGCGAGAAAACCUACGCCUGUUCUUAUAGUCAAGGGUAAUGGAACUGGAAACUAUGGUGUUUGAAAAGUUGAUAAGAAAAGAUUGUAAACGGAUAUGGUACCAUAUGCUUCAGCUGUUGGAAGCUCAAUAUAUUACCCUGACAUGGUUCACGUAUAUAUCCGGGUUGUUUUGGCAAUGUCCAGUCCAUAUAUAAAUUAAUGGAAUGGAGUCAAAGAUAUCGGCCUCAUGCUGAAAGAAAUAAGUGCUCUCCAAAGAUUGUGAGUACAAAGACACGACAUGUGAAAUGUAUAGCGAAAUCCACAAUUGUCACUAACUUUCAUACUUGGAGUUUUGUGUGGAAAAUCUCCAAAUGAGUGAAACAAUUGUCAUCAAUGUGAUGCAAUGAUAUGUUAUAGCUUGAUAUGAGGCUGAGGCACACGCAAAAUGGUGAAGGAGACCUGUACCCGGAGUUGAUAAUGCUUGACAACAGCGAUAACCAUUUUAAGUUUUUCUUUCGCUCCUAUCACAACGAGUCAAGUGUUGAUGCCAAACACACUGACACAGAGUUAUGUGUUGUAAAGGAGAAAGUUUGUAAUUAUGAAGAAAUGCUUGAAGCAUAAAAGCAACAGACAAGUGUUUGCAGAUCUGCUUAUUAAAGGCUUAACGCCGAGUGUGUUCGGAGAACACACAGUCGACAUGGGUUUUAUGGUAUAGUCUAAAAUUUCCGGACAAUAAAGGGCCCAAGGUUAAAGAAUUUGUUUCAAAAACAAAGAGGUACGUUGUGGCUGUCUGAUUCUAUCAACAAUUGAGCUGUGACGAUGAAACAUGCCCUAUGUAUUGAUCUGUUUUGAAAUGAGUAAAGUUAAAAGUAUAUGAUGAGAUCAAGGGGGAGAAUGUUAGAUUGAUCUCUUCCGCAAUGGACCCAACGACCCAUUGGAACCUUGAAUCACGCCCUAAUCGGGGGCGUCCAGCCCAAACAAGGCUGGUGGGCCCCUAUCGCGUAGUGCUAUAUAGAGGAUGUAGGGACCAUGGCAUAUGACACGAGGUUCGUCGCCGCCACUGGUUCCACACUCCUAACCCUAAUCCGAUCUAGAGGGUAGCACUGAAGCGAUGGGAAGUCCACCGCUGCUGCUGCCACAUCUCUCUCCUUCCUCACCGUCGUCACCGCUUGACGAUGGACACCGAAUGAAACUCAUCAAGUACGGGAUAAGGUAAUAAACCACUACUACUAACCGAACUCAUCUAGCCAAGAAGAUCCACGGGAUCUAUCACGACCAUCAUGUAUCUAUAUGAUUGGGGAUAGAUAACACAAUAUAUAUGCUUCAACGUGAUGGGUUCCAGCUGUCAGGGGGAGUCUUCUUUCUUUUGUGCAUAAUAAGGAGGCACUAGAUUGCGUGCGGCCAUGGACCUGGUGGUUCCUUUGUAUCAGCCUUUCCACGUACACUCCUUUUAUGAUGACUGUCAUUCAUUGAACACGUUGACCAUUCCGCACCGAGAGCACCAAGGUGGUGGACGACCGUGACUUAUCGAGGCCUAGGAAGAGAAUGAACCAGAGCCGAGGAAAACACCGAAGUCGAUGCACAUGCGAAGGAUAGUACGAGGGUUGACUGGUUCAUCUGCGGGUUGAGGCUGCCGUUGCUGAAAAAUAACACGAGGUGUGGUUGGGUAGAGGGAUGACCUGGCCAAUGG